AACAACAAAAUAAAAUCAAUUGGAUCAUUAAACAUUAAAUCUCAACAACAACAACAAAACAAAAUCAACACAAUCGCUAAAUAUUAAAUAUCAACAACAACAACAAUAAUAAAAACAACAAUAAAAGAAAAACAACAACAAAAAUAAAAUCAAUAAAAUCAUUAAACCACUACUACAAAAAAGACCUCUUACAGUAGAUGUUCCUUCGGUUACACAUAUGAGGUAACUAAGGACGACAUGAAAAAUUGUCACUUUACCCACCGAUUCCUAAAUAACCAAGGGGUAAAGUGGAAAUGUCAUGUGAUUGACCCCUAGUGAGAUCCUUUAAGGAAUAUUAAUUGCGAAAAAACUUAUCCCCUCGAUUUUGAAAUAUAAAUGACGGGUAAAAUAAGCUUGAGUUUAUUAUAUCUAUUGUGGAUUGCUUGUAUUUAGCCCUAGCUGAACAUAUAACUUUUCAAAAUGGAUUAUUGUGAUAGUUGAUAGUACUAUUGAUGCAAUUUACAAAUUAUUGAUGCAUAUCUAAAUCAUAGUCUUAACUUCGAUAAUGAAACUUCCACAAUUGGAAAAAAAACCAGCAUAGCUGAUCAACCGUGGUAAGGUAGGGGUGGUAGUAAGUGUACUACAUUCCACCAAGGGGUAAGGUUCGUUGUGAAAAAAUGGAUAACACGCUACAUUUUACCAUAGUUAGAAAUUCCAACUGUGGUGAUUUGUAGUCAGCCCACUUUUCACCACAUUUCGAACUUCCAACCAUGGUGAUAUGCCAGUCAACCCACUUUUCACCACGGUUGGAAGUUCCAACCAUGGUGAAAUAUCAUUCAACCCGCUUUUCACCGCAGUUGGAAGUUCCAGCCGUGGCAAAAAGUCAAUCAACCCAAUAUUUUAUUUAUUUUUGCCACAUGUUUUGACUGACUACAUUGAGAACUUUCAUCAUAAUAUAUAAUUCAAAAUAUUUCUAACACAAGAACAAUAACAACAAGAACAACAACAAUAAUAACAACAACAACAAUAAGAGCAAGAACAAGAAAAAGAAAAUAACAAGAACAAUAAAAACAACAACGAAAUAAAAUCAAUUGGAUCAUUAAACAUUAAAUCUCAAAAAUAACAACAACAAAACAAAAUCAACACAAUUGCUAAAUAUUAAAUAUCAACAACAACAACAACAACAAUAAUAAAAACAACAACAAAAGAAAAACAAGAAAAAUAAAAUAAAUAAAAUCAUUAAACCACUACUACAAAAAAGACAUGUUACAGUAGAUGUUACAUCAGUUACACAUACGAGGUAACCAAGGACGAUAUGAAAAAUUGUCACGUUACCCACCGAUUUCUAAAUAACAAAGGGGUAAAGUGGCAAUGUCAUGUGAUUGAUCCCUAGUGAGAUCCUUUAAGGAAUAUUAAUUGCGAAAAAACUUAUCCCCUCGAUUUUGAAAUAUAACCGACGGGUAAAAUAAGCUUGAGUUUAUUAUAUCUAUUUCGGAUUGCUUUUAUUUAGCCCUAGCUGAACAUCUAACUUUUCAAAUUGGAUUAUUGUGAUAGUUGAUAGUACUAUUGAUGCAAUUCACAUAUCAUAGAUGCAUAUCUAAAUCGUAGUCUUAACUUCGAUAAUGAAACUUCCACAAUUGGAAAAAAACCAUCAUAGCUUAUCAACCGUGGUAAGGUAGGGGUGGUAGUAAGUGUACUACAUUCCACCACGGGUUAUGGUUCGUUGUGAAAAAAUGGAUAACGCGCUACAUUUUACCAUAGUUAGAAAUUCCAACUGUGGUGAUAUGUAGUCAACCCACUUUUCACCACGAUUCGAACUUCCAACACGGGUGAAAUGUCAGUCAACCCACUUUUCACCACGGUUGGAAGUCCCAACCAUGGUGAAGUAUCAUUCAACCCACUUUUCACCACGGUUGGAAGUUCCAACCGUGGAAAAAAGUCAAUCAACCCAAAGUUUUAUUUAGUUUUGCCAACAAGAACAACAAGAACAACAACAAUAAUAACAACAACAACAAGAGCAAGAACAAGAAAAAGAAAAUAAUAAGAACAAUAAAAACAACAACAAAAUAAAAUCAAUUGGAUCAUUAAACAUAAAAUCUCAACAACAACAACAACAAAACAAAAUCAACACAACCGCUAAAUAUUAAAUAUCAACAACAACAACAACAAUAAUAAAAACAAUAACAAAAGAAAAAAAACAGCAACAAAAAUAAAAUAAAUAAAAUCAUUAAACCACUACUACAAAAAAGACAUCUUACAGUAGAUGUUACAUCGGUUACACAUACGAGGUAACUAAGGACGACAUGAAAAAUUGUCAUUUUACCCACCGAUUAAUAAAUAACCAAGGGGUAAAGUGGCAAUGUCAUGUGAUUGAUCCCUAGUGAGAUCAUUUAAGGAAUAUUAAUUGCGAAAAAAAGUAUCCCCUCGAUUUUGAAAUAUAAUCGACGGGUAAAAUAAGCUUGAGUUUAUUAUAUCUACUGUGGAUUGCUUGUAUUUAGCCCUAGCUGAACAUAUAACUUUUCAAAUUGGAUUAUUGUGAUAGUUGAUAGUACUAUUGAUGAAAUUUACAAAUCAUUGAUGCAUAUCUAAAUCGUAGUCUUAACUUCGAUAAUGAAACUUCCACAAUUGGAAAAAAAACCAUUAUAGUUGAUCAACCGUGGUAAGGUAGGGGCGGUAGUAAAUGUACUACAUUCCACCACGGGUUAAGUUCCGUUGUGCUAAAAUGGAUAACGCGCUACAUUUUACCAUAGUUAGAAAUCUAACUGUGGUGAUAUGUAGUCAGCCCAGUUUUCACCACGAUUUGAACUUCCAACCAUGGUGAAAUGUCAGUCAACCCACUUUUCACCACGGUUGGAAGUUCCAACCAUGGUGAAAUAUCAUUCAGCCGACUUUUCACCACAGUUUGAAGUUCCAACCGUGGCAAAAAGUCAAUCAACCCAAUUUUUUAUUUAUUUUUGCCACCUGUUUUGACCGACUACAUAGAUAACUUUCAUCAUAAUAUAUAAUUCAUAAUAUUUCUAACACAAGAACAAGAACAACAAGAACAACAACAAUAAUAAAAACAACAACAAGAGCAAGAAGAAGAAAAGGAAAAUAACAAAAACAAUAAAAACAACAACGAAAUAAAAUCAAUUGGAUAAUUAAAUAUUAAAUCUCAAAAACAACAACAACAAAACAAAAUCAACACAAUCGCUAAAUAUUAAAUAUCAACAACAACAACAACAAUAAUAAAAACAACACUAAAAGAAAAACAACAAGAAAAAUAAAAUCAAUAAAAUCAUUAAACCACUACUACAAAAAAGACAUGUUACAGUAGAUGUUACAUCGGUUACACAUACGAGGUAACCAACGACGAUAUGAAUAAUUGUCACUUUACCCACCGAUUUCUAAACAACCAAGGGGUAAAGUGGCAAUGUCAUGUGAUUGAUCCCUAGUUAGAUCCUUUAAGGAAUAUUAUUUGCGUAAAAACUUAUCCCCUCGGUUUUGAAAUAUAACCGACGGGUAAAAUAAGCUUGAGUUUAUUAUAUCUACUGUGGAUUGCUUGUAUUUAGCCCUAUAUGAACAUCUAACUUUCCAAAUUGGAUUAUUGUAAUAGUUGCUAGUACUAUUGAUGCAAUUUACAAAUCAUUGAUGCAUAUCUAAAUCAUAGUCUUAACUUCGAUAAUGAAACUUCCAUAAUUGGAAAAAAAACCAUCAUAGUUGAUCAACCGUGGUAAGGUAGCGGUGGUAGUAAGUGUACUACAUUCCACCACGGGUUAAGGUCCGUUGUGAAAAAAUGGAUAAUGCGCUACAUUUUACCAUAGUUAGAAAUUCCAACUGUGGUGAUAUGUAGUCAGCCCAAUUUUCACCACGAUUCGAAACUCCAACCAUGGUGAAAUGUCAGUCAACCUACUUUUCACCACGGUUGGAAGUUCCAGCCGUGGAAAAAAGUCAAUCAACCCAAUUUUUUAUUUUAUUUUGCCACAUGUUUUGACUGACUACAUUUGAGAACUUUCAUCAUAACAUAUAAUUCAAAAUAUUUCUAACACAAGAACAAGAACAACAAGAACAACAACAAUAAUAACAACAACAACAAGAGCAAGAACAAGAAAAAUAAAAUAACAAGAACAAUAAAAACAACAACGAAAUAAAAUCAAUUGGAUCAUUAAACAUUAAAUCUCAACAACAACAACAAAACAAAAUCUACACAAUCGCUAAAUAUUAAAUAUCAUCAACAACAACAACAAUAAUAAAAACAACAACAACAAAAAAACAACAACAAUAAAAAUAAAUUCAAUAAAAUCAUUAAACCACUACUACAAAAAAGACAUCUUAUAGUAGAUGUUACAUCGGUUACACAUACGAGGUAACCAGGACGACAUGAAAAAUUGUCACUUUGCCAACCGAUUCCUAAAUAACCAAGGGGUAAAGUGGCAAUGUCAUAUGAUUGAUCCCUAGUGAGAACCUUUAAGGAAUAUUAAUUGCGAAAAAACUUAUCCCCUCGAUUUUGAAAUAUAACCGACAGGUAAAAUAAGCUUGAGUUUAUUAUAUCUAUUGUGGAUUGCUUGUAUUUGGCCCUAGCUGAACAUAUAACUUUUCAAAUUGGAUUAUUGUGAUAGUUGAUAGUACUAUUGAUGCAUUUUACAAAUCAUUGAUGCAUAUCUAAAUCAUAGUUUUAACUUCGACAAUCAAACUUCCACAAUUGGAAAAAAAACCAACAUAGCUGAUCAACCGUGGUAAGGUAGGGGUGGUGGUAGGUGUACUACAUUCCACAACGGGUUAAGGUUCGUUGGUAAAAAAUGGAUAACACGCUACAUUUUACCAUAGUUAGAAAUUCCAACUGUGGUGAUAUGUAGUCAGCCCACUUUUCACCACAGUUCGAACUUCCAAAGGUUCGUUGGUAAAAAAUGGAUAACACGCUACAUUUUACCAUAGUUAGAAAUUCCAACUGUGGUGAUAUGUAGUCAGCCCACUUUUCACCACAGUUCGAACUUCCAACCAUGGUGAAAUGUCAGUCUACCCACUUUUCACCACGGUUGGAAGUUCCAACCAUGGUGAAAUAUCAUUCAACCCCCUUUUCACCACGGUUGGAAGUUCCAGCCGUGGCAAAAAGUCAAUCAACCCAAUUUUUUAUUUAUUUUUGCCACAUGUUUUGACUGACUACAUUUAGAACUUUCAUCAUAAUAUAUAAUUCAAAAUAUUUCUAACACAAGAACAAGAACAACAAGAACAACAACAAUAAUAACAACAACAACAAGAGAAAGAACAAGAAAAAUAAAAUAACAAGAACAAUAAAAACAACAACGAAAUAAAAUCAAUUGGAUCAUUAAACAUAAAAUCUCAACAACAACAACAACAAAACAAAAUCAACAUAAUCGCUAAAUAUUAAAUAUCAACAGUAAUAAAAACAACAACAAAAGAAAAACAAAAACAACAAAAAUAAAAUCAAUAAAUUCAUUAAACCACUACUACAAAAAAGACAUCUUACAGUAGAUGUUACAUCGGUUACACAUACGAGGUAACUAAGGACGAUAUGAAAAAUUGUCACUUUACCCACCGAUUUCUAAAUAACCAAGGGGUAAAGUGGCAAUGUCAUGUGAUUGAUCCCUAGUGAGAUCCUUUAAGGAAUAUUAAUUGCGAAAAGACUUUACCCCUCGGUUUUGAAAUAUAACAGACGGGUAAAAUAAGCUUGAGUUUAUUAUAUCUAUUUUGGAUUGCUUUUAUUUAGCCCUAGCUGAACAUCUAACUUUUCAAAUUGGAUUAUUGUGAUAGUUGAUAGUACUAUUGAUGCAAUUUACAUAUCAUUGAUGCAUAUCUAAAUCGUAGUCUUAACUUCGAUAAUGAAACUUCCACAAUUGGAAAAAAAAACCAUCAUAGUCGAUCAACCGUGGUAAGGUAGGGGUGAUAGUAAGUGUACUACAUACCACCACGGGUUAAGGUCCGUUGUGAAAAAAUGGAUAACGCGCUACAUUUUACCAUAGUUAGAAAUUCCAACUAUGGUGAUAUGUAGUCAGCCCACUUUUCACCACGAUUCGAACUUCCAACCAUGGUGAAAUGUUAGUCAACCCACUUUUCACCACGGUUGGAAGUUCCAACCAUGGUGAAAUAUCAUUCAACCCACUUUUCACCACGAUUGAAAGUUCCAGCCGUGGCAAAAAGUCAAUCAACCCAAUUCUUUAUUUAUUUUUGCCACAUGUUUUGACUGACUACAUUGAGAACUUUCAUCAUAAUAUAUAAUGCAAAAUAUUUCUAACACAAGAACAAGAACAGCAAGAACAAUAACAAUAAUAAGCAGAACAACAAGAGCAAGAACAAGAAAAAUAAAAUAACAAGAACAGUAAAACCAACAACGAAAUAAAAUCAAUUCGAUCAUUAAACAUUAAAUCUCAACAACAGCAACAACAACAAAACAAAAUCUACACAAUCGCUAAAUAUUAAAUAUCAACAACAACAACAACAAUAAUAAAAACAACAACAACAAAGAAACAACAACAAUAAAAAUAAAAUCAAAAAAAUCAUUAAACCACUACUACAAAAAAGACAUCUUAUAGUAGAUGUUACAUCGGUUACACAUACGAGGUAACCAGGACGAAGUGAAAAAUUGUCACUUUACCCACCGAUUCCUAAAUAACGAAGGGGUAAAGUGGCAAUGUCAUGUGAUUGAUCCCUAGUGAGAUCCUUUAAGGAAUAUUAAUUGGGAAAAAACUUAUCCCCUCGAUUUUGAAAUAUAACCGACGGGUAAAAUAAGCUUGAGUUUAUUAUAUCUAUUGUGGAUUGCUUGUAUUUAGCCCUAGCUGAGCAUAUAACUUUUCAAAUUGGAUUAUUGUGAUAGUUGAUAGUACUAUUGAUGCAAUUUACAAAUCAUUGAUGCAUAUCUAAAUCAUAGUUUUAACUUCGACAAUCAAACUUCCACAAUUGAAAAAAAAACCAACAUAGCUGAUCAACCGUGGUAAGGUAGGGGUGGUGGUAAGUGUACUAUAUUCCACAACGGGUUAAGGUUCGUUGGUAAAAAAAUGGAUAACACGCUACAUUUUACCAUAGUUAGAAAUUCCAACUGUGGUGAUAUGUAGUCAGCCCACUUUUCACCACAGUUCGAACUUCCAACCAUGGUGAAAUGUCAGUCAACCCACUUUUCACCACGGUCGGAAGUUCCAACCAUGGUGAAAUAUCAUUCAACCCACUUUCCACCACGGUUGGAAGUUCCAGCCGUGGCAAAAAGUCAAUCAACCCAAUUUUUUAUUUAUUUUUGCCACAUGUUUUGACUGACUACAUUGAGAACUUUCAUCAUAAUAUAUAAUUCAAAAUAUUUCUAAUUUAUUUUUGCCACAUGUUUUGACUGACUACAUUGAGAACUUUCAUCAUAAUAUAUAAUUCAAAAUAUUUCUAACACAAGAACAAGAACAACAAGAACAACAACAAUAAUAACAACAACAACAAGAGAAAGAACAAGAAAAGUAAAAUAACAAGAACAAUAAAAACAACAAUGAAAUAAAAUCAAUUGGAUCAUUAAACAUUAAAUCUCAAAAACAACAACAACAAAACAAAAUUAACACAAUCGCUAAAUAUUAAAUAUCAACAACAACAACAACAACAAUAAUAAAAACAACACUAAAAGAAAAACAACAAGCAAAAUAAAAUCAAUAAAAUCAUUAAACCACUACUACAAAAAAACAUGUUACAGUAGAUGUUACAUUGGUUACACAUACAAGGUAACCAAGGACGAUAUGAAAAAUUGUCACUUUACCCACCGAUUUCUAAAUAACCAAGGGGUAACGUGGCAAUGUCAUGUGAUUAAUCCCUAGUUAGAUCCUUUAAGGAAUAUUAUUUGCGAAAAAACUUAUCCCCUCGGUUUUGAAAUAUAACCGACGCGUAAAAUAAGCUUGAGUUUAUUAUAUCUACUGUGGAUUGCUUGUAUUUAGCCCUAACUGAACAUCUAACUUUCCAAAUUGGAUUAUUGUGAUAGUUGCUAGUACUAUUGAUGCAAUUUACAAAUCAUAAUUAUAUCUACUGUGGAUUGCUUGUAUUUAGCCCUAACUGAACAUCUAACUUUCCAAAUUGGAUUAUUGUGAUAGUUGCUAGUACUAUUGAUGCAAUUUACAAAUCAUUGAUGCAUAUCUAAAUCAUAGUCUUAACUUCGAUGAUGAAACUCCGAUAAUUUGAAAAAAACCAUCAAAGUUGAUCAACUGUGGUAAGGUAGCGGUGGUAGUAAGUGUACUACAUUCCACCACGGGUUAAGGUCCGUUGUGAAAAAGUGGAUAACGUGCUACAUUUUACCAUAGUUAGAAAUUCCAACUGUGGUGAUAUGUAGUCAGCCCAAUUUUCACCACGAUUCGAAACUCCAACCAUGGUGAAAUGUCAGUCAACCCACUUUUCACCACGGUUGGAAGUUCCAACCAUGGUGAAAUAUCAUUCAACCCACUAUUCACCACGAUUGGAAGUUCCAGCCGUGGCAAAAAGUCAAUCAACCCAAUUUUUUAUUUAUUUUUGCCACAUGUUUUGACUGACUACAUUGAGAACUUUCAUCAUAAUAUAUAACUCAAAAUAUUUCUAACACAAGAACAAGAACAGCAAGAACAAUAACAAUAAUAAGCAGAACAACAAGAGCAAGAACAAGAAAAAUAAAAUAACAAGAACAAUAAAAACAACAACGAAAUAAAAUCAAUUGGAUCAUUAAACAUUAAAUCUCAACAACAACAACAACAAAACAAAAUCUACACAAUCGCUAAAUAUUAAAUAUCAACAACAACAACUACAAUCAUAAAAAAACAACAACAAAAAAACAACAACAAUAAAAAUAAAAUCAAUAAAAUCAUUAAACCACUACUACAAAAAAGACAUCUUAUAGUAGAUGUUACAUCGGUUACACAUACGAGGUAACCAGGACGAUAUGAAAAAUGGUCACUUUACCCACCGGUUCCUAAAUAACCAAGGGGUAAAGUGGCGAUGUCAUGUGAUUGAUCCCUAGUGAGAUCCUUGAAGGAAUAUUAAUUGCGAAAAAACUUAUCCCCUCGAUUUUGAAAUAUAACCGACGGGUAAAAUAAGCUUGAGUUUAUUAUAUCUAUUGUGGAUUGCUUGUAUUUAGCCCUAACUGAACAUAUAACUUUUCAAAUUGGAUUAUUGUGAUAGAUGAUAGUACUAUUGAUGCAAUUUACAAAUCAUUGAUGCAUAUCUAAAUCAUUGUUUUAACUUCGACAAUCAAACUUCCACAAUUGGAAAAAAAACCAGCAUAGCUGAUCAACCGUGGUAAGGUAGGGGUGGUGGUAAGUGUGCUACAUUCCACAACGGGUUAAGGUUCGUUGGUAAAAAAUGGAUAACACGCUACAUUUUACCAUAGUUAGAAAUUCCAACUGUGGUGAUAUGUAGUCAGCCCACUUUUCACCACAGUUCGAACUUCCAAAGGUUCGUUGGUAAAAAAUGGAUAACACGCUACAUUUUACCAUAGUUAGAAAUUCCAACUGUGGUGAUAUGUAGUCAGCCCACUUUUCACCACAGUUCGAACUUCCAACCAUGGUGAAAUGUCAGUCAACCCACUUUUCACCACGGUUGGAAGUUCCAACCAUGGUGAAAUAUCAUUCAAUCCACUUUUCACCACGGUUGGAAGUUCCAGCCGUGGCAAAAAGUCAAUCAACCCAAUUUUUUAUUUAUUUUUGCCACAUGUUUUGACUGACUACAUUGAGAACUUUCAUCAUAAUAUAUCAUUCAAAAUAUUUCUAACACAAGAACAAGAACAACAAGAACAACAACAAUAAUAACAACAACAAGAAGAGCAAGAACAAGAAAAAUAAAAUAACAAGAACAAUAAAAACAACAAUGAAAUAAAAUCAAUUGGAUCAUUAAACAUAAAAUCUCAACAACAACAACAACAACAAAACAAAAUCAGCAUAAUCGCUAAAUAUUAAAUAUCAACAACAAUAACAACAAUAAUAAAGACAACAACAAAAGAAAAUAAAAUCAAUAAAUUCAUUAAACCACUACUACAAAAAAGACAUCUUAUAGUAGAUGUUACAUCGGUUACACAUACGAGGUAACUAAGGACGAUAUGAAAAAUUGUCACUUUACCCACCGAUUUCUAAAUAACCAAGGGGUAAAGUGGCAAUGUCAUGUGAUUGAUCCCUAGUGAGAUCCUUUAAGGAAUAUUAAUUGCAUAAAGACUUAUCCCCUCGGUUUUGAAAAAUAACCGACGGGUAAAAUAAGCUUGAGUUUAUUAUAUCUACUGUGGAUUGCUUUUAUUUAGCCCUAGCUGAACAUCUAACUUUUCAAAUUUGAUUAUUGUGAUAGUGAUAGUACUAUUGAUGCAAUUUACAAAUCAUUGAUGCAUAUCUAAAUCGUGGUCUUAACUUCGAUAAUGAAACUUCCACAAUUGGAAAAAAAAACCAUCAUAGUCGAUCAACCGUGGUAAGGUAGGGGUGGUAGUAAGUGUACUACAUUCCACCACGGGUUAAGGUCCGUUGUGAAAAAAUGGAUAACACGCUACAUUUUACCAUAGUUAGAAAUUCCAACUGUGGUGAUAUGUAGUCAGCCCACUUUUCACCACGAUUCGAACUUCCAACCAUGGUGAUAUAUCAGUCAACCCACUUUUCACCACGGUUGGAAGUUCCAACCAUUGUGAAAUAUCAUUCAACCCACUUUUCACCACAGUUGGAAGUUCCAGCCGUGGCAAAAAGUCAAUCAUACCAAUUUUUUACUUAUUUUUGCCACAUGUUUUGGCUGACUACAUUGAGAACUUUCAUCGUAGUAUAUAAUUCAAAAUAUUUCUAACACAAGAACAAGAACAACAAGAACAACAACAAUAAUAAUAACAACAACAAGAGCAAGAACAAGAAAAAGAAAAUUACAAGAACAAUAAAAACAACAACGAAAUAAAAUCAUUUGGAUCAUUAAACAUUAAAUCUCAUAAACAACAACAACAAAACAAAAUCAACACAAUUGCUAAAUAUUAAAUAUCAACAACAACAAUAACAAUAAUAAAAACAACACUAAAAGAAAAACAACAAGAAAAAUAAAAUCUAUAGAAUCAUUAAACCACUACUACAAAAAAGACAUGUUACAGUAGAUGUUACAUCGGUUACACAUACGAGGGAACCAAGGACGAUAUGAAAAAUUGUCACUUUACCCACCGAUUUCUAAAUAACCAAGGGGUAAAGUGGCAAUGUCAUGUGAUUGAUCCCUAGUUAGAUCCUUUAAGGAAUAUUAUUUGCGAAAAUACUUAUCCCCUCGGUUUUGAAAUAUAACCGACGGGUAUAAUAAGCUUGAGUUUAUUAUAUCUACUGUGGAUUGCUUGUAUUUAGCCCUAACUGAACAUCUAACUUUCCAAAUUGGAUUAUUGUGAUAGUUGCUAGUACUAUUGAUGCAAUUUNAAAAGAGAGAGAUAAGUUUAGAUGUUCAGCAUUAGGCUAAAUACAAAGCAAUCCACAGUUAGAUAUAAUAACCUCAAAGCUACUGUUACCGUCGGUUAUAUUUCAAAAACCGAGGGUAUAAGUUUUUUCGUCAAACUAAUAUUCUUAAAGGAUCUCACUAGGGAUCAAUCACAUGACAUUGCCACUUUUACCCCUUAGUUUGUUUAGAACGGUGCGGGUAAAGUGACAGAUUUUUCUUCAUGUCUCCUUGUUUACCUUCGUAUGUGUAACCGACUUGGAACAUCUACAUUGUAAAUGUCUUUUUUUUGUAGUAGUGGUUAAUGAUUUUAUUGAUUUAUUUUUGUUUGUUGUUUUGUUGGUUUUAUUGGCAAUAUCUAUUAUAUAUAAUUUAAUUGGCGAUUGUGUUUGAUAUUUUGUUGUUGUUGUUUUUGAGAUUUAAUGUUUAAUGAUCAAUUGAUUUUAUUUCGUUGUGUUUUAUUGUCUUGUAUUUUCUUUUAACUUGUUCUUGCUCUUGUGUUGUUGUUGUUAUUAUUGUUUUUGUUCUGGAUUUCUUGUUCUUGUGUCUAGAAAUAUUUGAAUUAUAUAUUAUGAUGAAAGUUCUCAAUGUAGUCGUCAAAAACAUGUGGGCAAAUAAUAAAUAAAAAAUUGGGUUGAUUGACUUUUGCCACGGUACUGAAACUUCCAACUGGUGGUGAAAGGUGGUUUGAUUGAUAUUUCACCAUGGUUCGGAACUUCUAAACCGUGUGAAAAGUGGCUUGAUGACAUAUCACCAUGGGUUGGCAAGUUCAUAUCGUGGUGAAAAUGGUGAACUACAUAUCGACACAGUUUUCAAAUUUCUAACUAUGGCAGAAAUGUAGCGCGGUUAUCCAUUUUUUCACAACGGAGCUAUACCCAAGGUGAAAUGUAAGUACACUACUACCACCCGUACCUUACCACGGUUGAUCAACUAUGAUGCGUUUUUUUUCCAAUUGUGUGAAGUUUCAAUUAUUCGAAGGUUAAGAUGCAUAUUGGAGAUAUGCCAUCAAUGAUUUGUAAAUUGCAUCCAUAUAUAUCAUAGCUAAAAUCACAUAAUUAUCCAACUUGAAUAAGUUAGAUGUUCAGUCUAGGGUUAAAUAAGAAAAGCAAUCCAAUAUAGAUAUAAUAAACUCAAGCUUAUUUUACCCAGUCGGUUAUAUUUCAAAUAACCGAGGGGAUAAGUUUUUUCGGAAUUAAUAUUCCUUAAAGGAUCUCAUAGGGAAUCAAUCACAUGACAUUUCCACUUUACCCGCUUGGUUAUUUUGAAAUCGAUGUGGGUUAAUGACAAUUUUUCAUAUGCGUCCUUGUUACUCGUAUGUGUUACCCAUGUAACGAUCUACUGUAGAAUGUUUUUUGUAGUAGUGGUUUAAUUGAUUUAUGUGAUUUUAUAUUUUCUUGUUGUUGUUUUCUUUUUGUUAUGUUUUUUAUUAUUGUUUGUGUUUUGUUGUUGUUGAAUUUAAAAUUUUAAAAGUGUUGUGGUUGAUUUUGUUUUGUAUUGUUUGUUGUUUUGAGAAUUAAUGUUUAAUGCCAAUUGAUUUAUUAGUUCGUGUUGUUUUAAUUGGUCUCUGUAUUUCCUUUUACUUGUUCUUGUCUCGUGAUUUGUUGUUGUUAUUAUUGUUGUUGUUCUUGUGGUUCUUUGUCUUGUGUUAGAAAUAUUUUGAAUUAUAUGUAUUACUGAUGAAAGUUCUCAUAGUAGUCAGUCAAAACAUGUGGCAAAAUAAAUAAAAAUUGGUUGAUUGACUUUUAUGCCACGCUGGAACUCCAGCCUGUGGUGAAAAGUGGGUUGAAUGAUAUUCAACCAUGGUUGGAACUUCCUAACCGAUGGUGAAGGAAGUGGGUUUGAUUGACCAUAUUCACGCAUGGUUGGAAGUUUCGCUAUCGUGGUGAAAAAGUAGGGCUGACUACAUAUCACCACAGUUGGAAUUUCUAACUAUAGUAAAUGUAGCGCUGUUAUCCAUUUUUUCCACACGGACCUUAACCCGUUGUGGACAUGUAGUACACUUACUACACCCCUACCUUUACCACGGUUGAUCAACAUUAUGAAUGGUUUUUUUUUUUCGAAUUGUGGAAGUUCAUUAUCGAAGUUAAGCAUAUGAUUUAGAUAUGCAUCAAUGAUUGUAAAUUGCAAUCAAUGAGGUACUAGCAAACAUAUCACAAUAAUUCCAAUUUGAGAAUUAGAUGUUCAUUAGGGUUAAAUAAACAAUCCACAGUAGAUAUAAUAAACUUCAAGCUUAAUUAUACCCAGUCGGUUAUAUUUCAAACCGAUGGGGUAAGUUUUUUUCGCAAUUAAUUUCCUUAAAGGAUCUUCACUAGGGAUCAAGUCACACCCCCCUUUGACAUUGCCACUUUACCCCUUUGGUUAUUAGGAAAUUCGGUGGGUAAGUGACAAUUUUCAUAUCGUUCUUGUUACCUCGUAUGUGUAACCGAAUGUAGACAAUCUAUUGUAACAUGUCUUUUUGUUAGUAGUGUUUUAAUUGAUUUUAUUGAAUUUAUUUUGGUUUUGUUGUUUUUCUCUUUAGUGGUUGUUUUUAUUAAUUGUGUAUGUUGUUGUUGAAUAUUAACUAUUUACAUGGUGUCUGAUUUUGUUUGUUGUUGUUUGUUGAGUAUUCUAAUUUUAAUGAUUCCAAUUGAUUUUAUUUCGGUUUGUUUUGUUUUUAUUGUUCUUAGUAAUUUUAUUUUUCUGUUCUUGCUCUGUGUUGUAUUAUUAUUGGUUGUUGUUCUUGUUGUUCUUGUUCUUGUGUUAGAAAAUAUUAUUGAAUUAAAUAACAUGGAAUGAAAGAUUCUCAAUGUAGUCAGUCAAAAACAUGUGGCAAAAUAAGUAAAAAACUAUGGGUUGAUUGACUUUUUGCCAUGGCUGACGACUUCACGUGGUGAAAAAGUGGGUUGAAUGAUAUUUCACGCAUGGUGUGACUCAACGCGUGGUGAAAAGUGGGUUGAUGACAAUAUCACCAAUGGUUGGAAUUCUGAAUCGUGGUUGAAAGUUGGGCUGACUACAUAUCACCAAGUUUGGAUUUCUAACUCAAUGGUUAAAAUGUUAGCGCAGUUAUCCAUUUUAUCCACACGGACCUUAACCGUGGUGGAAUGUAGUACACCUUACUCACCAACCGCUCACCUUACCACGGUUAGAUCGAAAUAUGAGUGGUUUUUUCAAUUUGUGAAGUUUCAUUAUCGAAGUUAAACGACUUGAUUUUAGAUAUGCAUAAAUGAUUGGUAACUUGCAUCAAUGAGUACUAGUAACUAUCACAAUAAUCCAAUUUGAAAGUUAGUGUUAGUCUAGGGCUAAAUACAGCCAAUCCAACAAAUUAGAUAUAAUAAACUCAAGAUUAUUUUUACCCGUCAGUUUAAUAUUUCAAAACGAGGGGGAUCAGUUUUUCGGAAUUAAAUUCCUUAAAGGAUCUCACUAGGGAUCAAUCACAUGACAUUUGCCACUUUACCCGCUUGAGUUUUUAAGAACCGGUGGGUAAUGUGACAAUUUUCAUAUCGUCCCCUGUUAACCUUCGUAUUGUGUAACGAUAGUAAAUCUUGUAACAUGUCCUUUGUUGUCGUAGUGGUUUAAUGUUUUAUUGAUUUUUAUUUUUGUUGUUUGUCUUUUUGUUGUGUUUUUAUUAUUGUUGUGUUGUUUGUUGUGAUAUUUAAAUAGUGUUGUAGUUUUUUGUGAUUAAGGUAAUCAAUGAUUUUGUUGUUGUUCUUGUAUUUUUUUGUUUUUUUUGAUUUUUUGCAUUGUUGAUUUGUUGUUUUUGUAGAUUUAAUGUUUAAUGAUCUCAAUUGAUUUAUUCGUUGUUGUCUUUUAUUGUUCUGUUAUUUUCUUUUUUUCUUGCUGUGUUGUUGUUAUUAUGUGUUUUGUUCUUGGUGUGUUUCUGUUCUUGUGUUUAGAAAUAUUCUGAAUUAUAUAUUAUGAUGAAAAGUUUCAAAGUAAGUCAGUCAAAACAUGUGGCAAAAUAAAUAAAAAAUUUGGUUGAUUGACUUUUGCCACUAACUCCGUGGUAAAGUGUUCCAACUGAUUACCCGGUGAACUUCAACGUGGUGUUGAAUGCGUUGACUGACAUACCAUGGGUUGGAAGUUCCUUAUCGUGUGAAAAUUGGGUCUGCACUGCAUAUUCACCAUAGUUGGAAUUUUACUAACUAUGGUAAAAUGUAGCGUGUAUCCAUUUUUUUCACAACGGAGCUUACCACGUGUGGAAUGAGUACACACUUACCCCCCACCCUACCCACCCGGUUGAGUCAAGCUAUGAUGGUUUUUUUUCACAAUUGUGGAAGUUUCAUUAUCGAAGUUAAGAUCAUAAAGAUAUGCACAAUUGAUUUGUUAAAUUGCAUCAAUAGUACUAGCAAAACUAUCACCAAAUCCCAAUUUGAAAAGUUAGAUGUUCAGCUAAGGGCUUAAAUAAAAGCGAAUCCAACAUUACGACUAUAAUAAACCUCAAGCUUUUUACCGUCGGUUAUAUUUCAAAACCGAGGAUAGUUUUUUCGGAUUAUAUUCCUUAAAGGAUCUCACUAGGGAUCAUCAGCAUGACAUUGCCACUUUUACCCCUAUGUUAUUUAGAAGAAUCAGUGGAGAAGUGACAAUUGUUCAUAUCGUCCUUAGUUACCUCUAUGUGUAACCAAUGUAACAUCUACUGUAAGAUGUUUUUUGUGGUAGUGUUUAAGAUUUUUGUUGAUUUUAAUUUUAUUGUUGUUGUUUUUUUUUGUUUUGUUUUAUUAUUGUUUGGUUUUUGUUUGUUGAUAUUUAAUAUUUAGUGAUUGUGUUGAUUUUGUUUUAUUGUUGUUGUUGUUGAGAUUAAUGUUAAUGAUCCAAAUUGAUUUUAUUUCGUUGUUGCUUUUUAUUGGUCUGUUAUUUUCUUUUAACUUUUCUUGCUCCUGUUGUGUUGUUAUUAUUUUUGUUGUUCUUGGUGUUCCUUGUUCUUGUGUUAGAAAUAUUUUUGAAUUUAUAUAUAUAUGAUGAAAGUUCUCAAAGUAGUCAGUCAAAAAUGUGGCAAAAAUAAUAAAAAAUUGGGGUGAUUGGACUUUUUGCCACGGCUGAACUUCCAACCGUGGUGAAAAGUGGGUUGAUGAUAUUUUUACCAUGGUUGGAACUUCCAACGCCGUGGUGAAAGUGGGUUGACUGACAUUUCAGCCCAUGGUUGGAAGUUCUUAAUCGUGGUGAAAAUAGGGCUGACUACAUACUCACCCACAGUUGGAAUUUCUAAAACUAUAGUAAAAUGGUAGCGUGUUAUCAAAUUUUUUGCAACAACGAGCUUAACCACGUGGUGGAAGUGUAGUACACUUACUACCACCGCUACCUGUACCACGGUUGAUCAAUUAUGAUGGUUUUUUUCUGAAUUGUGGAAGUAUUCAUUAUCGAAGGUUAAGAUCAUGAUUUAGAUAUGCAUCAAUGAUUUGUAAAUUGCAUGCAAUAGUAACUUAGCAACCAAUAGAUGUUCCUUCGGUUACACAUACGAGGUAACUAAGGACGACAUGAAAAAUUGUCACUUUACCCACCGGUUCCUAAACAACCAAGGGGUAAAGUGGCAAUGUCAUGUGAUUGAUCCCUAGUGAGAUCCUUUAAGGAAUAUUAAUUCCGAAAAAACUUAUCCCCUCGGUUUUGAAAUAUAACCGACGGGUAAAAUAAGUUUGAGUUUAUUAUAUCUAAUGUGGAUUGCUUUUAUUUAGCCCUAGCUGAACAUCUAACUUUUCAAAUUGGAUUAUUGUGAUAGUUGAUAGUACUAUUGAUGCAAUUUACAAAUCAUUGAUGCAUAUCUAAAUCGUAGUCUUAACUUCGAUAAUGAAACUUCCACAAUUGGAAAAAAAAACCAUCAUAGUCGAUCAACCGUGGUAAGGUAGGGGUGGUAGUAAGUGUACUACAUUCCACCACGGGUUAAGGUCCGUUGUGAAAAAAUGGAUAACGCGCUACAUUUUACCAUAGUUAGAAAUUCCAACUGUGGUGAUAUGUAGUCAGCCCACUUUUCACCACGAUUCGAACUUCCAACCAUGGUGAUAUAUCAGUCAACCCACUUUUCACCACGGUUGGAAGUUCCAACCAUGGUGAAAUAUCAUUCAACCCACUUUUCACCACGGUUGGAAGUUCCAGCCGUGGCAAAAAGUCAAUCAACCCAAUUUUUUAUUUAUUUUUGCCACAUGUUUUGACUGACUACUUUGAGAACUUUCAUCAUAAUAUAUAAUUCAAAAUAUUUCUAACACAAGAACAAGAACACCAAGAACAACAACAAUAAUAACAACAACAACACGAGCAAGAACAAGUAAAAGAAAAUAACAGAACAAUAAAAGCAACAACGAAAUAAUAUCAAUUGGAUCAUUAAACAUUAAAUCUCAACAACAACAAAACAAAAUCAACACAAUCGCUAAAUAUUAAAUAUCAACAACAACAACAAUAAUAAAAACAACAACAAAAGAAAAACAACAACAAAAAUAAAAUCAAUAAAAUAAUUAAACCACUACUACAAAAAAGACAUCUUACAAUAGAUGUUCCUUCGGUUACACAUACGAGGUAACUAAGGACGACAUGAAAAAUUGUCACUUUACCCACCGGUUCCUAAACAACCAAGGGGUAAAGUGGCAAUGUCAUGUGAUUGAUCCCUAGUGAGAUCCUUUAAGGAAUAUUAAUUGCGAAAAAACUUAUCCCCUCGGUUUUGAAAUAUAACCGACGGGUAAAAUAAGUUUGAGUUUAUUAUAUCUAAUGUGGAUUGCUUUUAUUUAGCCCUAGCUGAACAUCUAACUUUUCAAAUUGGAUUAUUGUGAUAGUUGAUAGUACUAUUGAUGCAAUUUACAAAUCAUUGAUGCAUAUCUAAAUCGUAGUCUUAACUUCGAUAAUGAAACUUCCACAAUUGGAAAAAAAAACCAUCAUAGUCGAUCAACCGUGGUAAGGUAGGGGUGGUAGUAAGUGUACUACAUUCCACCACGGGUUAAGGUCCGUUGUGAAAAAAUGGAUAACGCGCUACAUUUUACCAUAGUUAGAAAUUCCAACUGUGGUGAUAUGUAGUCAGCCCACUUUUCACCACGAUUCGAACUUCCAACCAUGGUGAUAUAUCAGUCAACCCACUUUUCACCACGGUUGGAAGUUCCAACCAUGGUGAAAUAUCAUUCAACCCACUUUUCACCACGGUUGGAAGUUCCAGCCGUGGCAAAAAGUCAAUCAACCCAAUUUUUUAUUUAUUUUUGCCACAUGUUUUGACUGACUACUUUGAGAACUUUCAUCAUAAUAUAUAAUUCAAAAUAUUUCUAACACAAGAACAAGAACACCAAGAACAACAACAAUAAUAACAACAACAACACGAGCAAGAACAAGUAAAAGAAAAUAACAGAACAAUAAAAGCAACAACGAAAUAAAAUCAAUUGGAUCAUUAAACAUUAAUUCUCAACAACAACAACAAUAAAACAAAAUCAACACAAUCACUAAAUAUUAAAUAUCAACAACAAAACCAACAAUAAUAAAAACAAUAACAAAAGAAAAACAACAACAAUAAAAUUAAAAUCAACAAAAUCAUUAAACCACUACUACAAAAAAGACAUCUUACAGUAGAUGUUACAUUGGUUACACAUACGAGGUAACUAAGGACGAUAUGAAAAAUUGUCACUUUACCCACUGAUUUCUAAAUAACCAAGGGGUAAAGUGGCAAUAUCAUGUGAUUGAUCCCUAGUGAGAUCCUUUAAGGAAUAUUAAUUCCGAAAAAACUUAUCCCCUCGGUUUUGAAAUAUAACCGACGGGUAAAAUAAUCUUGAGUUUAUUAUAUCUAAUGUGGAUUGCUUUUAUUUAGCCCUAGCUGAACAUCUAACUUUUCAAAUUGGAUUAUUAUGAUAGUUGAUAGUACUAUUGAUGCAAUUUACAAAUCAUUGAUGCAUAUCUAAAUCGUAGUCUUAACUUCGAUAAUGAAACUUCCACAAUUUGAAAAAAAACCAUCAUAGUUGAUCAACCGUGGUAAGGUUGGGGUGGUAGUAAGUGUACUUCAUUCCACCUUGGGUUAAGGUCCGUUGUGAAAAAAUGGAUAACGCGCUACAUUUUACCAUAGUUAGAAAUUCCAACCGUGGUGAUAUGCCAGUCAACCCACUUUUCACCACGGAUGGAAGUUCCAACCAUGGUGAAAUAGCAUUCAACCCACUUUUCACCACAGUUGGAAGUUCCAGCCGUGGCAAAAAGUCAAUCAACCCAAUUUUUUAUUUAUUUUUGCCACAUGUUUUGACUGACUACAUUGAGAACUUUCAUCAUAAUAUAUAAUUCAGAAUAUUUCUAACACAAGAACAAGAACAACAAGAACAACAACCAUAAUAACAACAACAACAAGAAAAAGAAAAUAACAAGAACAAUAAAAACAACAACGAAAUAAAAUCAAUUAGAUCAUUAAACAUUAAAUCUCAAAAACAACAACAACAAAACAAAAUCAACACAAUCGCUAAAUAUUAAAUAUCAAUAACAACAACAACAAUAAUAAAAACAUCAACAAAAGAAAAACAACAACAAAAUAAAAUCAAUUGGAUCAUUAAACAUUAAAUCUCAAAAACAACAACAACAAAACAAAAUCAACACAACCACUAAAUAUUAAAUAUCAACAACAACAACAACACCAACAAUAAUAAAAACAACAACACAACACAACCACUAAAUAUUAAAUAUCAACAACAACAACAACACCAACAAUAAUAAAAACAACAACAAAAAGAAAAACAACAAGAAAAAUAAAAUCAAUAAAAUCAUUAAACCACUACUACAAAAAAGACAUGUUACAGUAGAUGUUACAUCGGUUACACAUACAAGGUAACAAGGGACGAUAUGAAAUAUUGUCACUUUACCCACCGAUUUCUAAAUAACCAAGGGGUAAAGUGGAAAUGUCAUGUGAUUGAUCCCUAGUGAGAUCCUUUAAGGAAUAUUAAUUGCGAAAAAACUUAUCCCCUCGGUUUUGAAAUAUAACUGACGGGUAAAAUAAGCUUGAGUUUAUUAUAUCUAUUGUGGAUUGCUUAUAUUUAGCCCUAACUGAACAUCAAACUUUCCAAAUUGGAUUAUUGUGAUAGUUACUAGUACUAUUGAUGCAAUUUACAAAUCAUUGAUGCAUAUCUAAAUCAUGAUCUUAACUUCGAUAAUGAAACUACCACAAUUGGAAAAAAAACCAUCAUAGUUGAUCAACCGUGGUAAGGUAGGGGUGGUAGUAAGUGUACUACAUUCCACCACGGGUUAAGGUCCGUUGUGAUAAAAUGGAUAAUGCGCUACAUUUUACCAUAGUUAGAAAUUCAACUGUGGUGAUAUGUAGUCAGCCAACUUUUCACCACGAUAAGAACUUCCAACCAUGGUGAAAUGUCAGUCAACCCACUUUUCACCACGGUUGGAAGUACCAACCAUGGUGAAAUAUCAUUCAACCCACUUUUCACCACGGUUGGAAGUUCCAGCCAUGGCAAAAAGUCAAUCAACCUAUUUUUUUAUUUUUUUUUGCCCCAUGUUUUGACUGACUACUUUGAGAACUUUCAUCAUAAUAUAUAAUUCAAAAUAUUUCUAACACAAGAACAAGAACAAUAAGAACAACAACAAUAAUAAUAACAACAACAAGAGCAAGAACAAGAAAAAGAAAAUAACAAGAACAAUAAAAACAACAACGAAAUAAAAUCAAUUGGAUCAUUAAACAUAAAAUCUCAACAACAACAACAACAAAACAAAAUCGACACAAUCGCUAAAUAUUAAAUAUCAACAAAAACAACAAUAAUAAAAACAACAACAAAAGAAAAACAACAACAACAAAAAUAAAAUCAAUAAAAUCAUUAAACCACUACUACAAAAAAGACAUGUUAAAGUAGAUGUUACAUCGGUUACACAUACGAGGUAACCAAGGACGAUAUGAAAACUUUUCACUUUACCCACCGAUUUCUAAAUAACCAAGGGGUAAAGUGGCAAUGUCAUGUGAUUGAUCCCUAGGAAGAUCCUUUAAGGAAUAUUAAUUGCGAAAAAACUUAUCCCAUCGGUUUUGAAAUAUAACCGAUGGGUAAAAUAAGCUUGAGUUUAUUAUAUCUACUGUGGAUUGCUUUUAUUUAACCCUAGAUGAACAUCUAAAUUUUCAAAUUGAAUUAUUGUGAUAGUUGAUAGUACUAUUGAUGCAAUUUACGAAUCAUUGAUGCAUAUCUAAAUCAUAGUCUUAACUUCGAUAAUGAAACUUCCACAAUUGGAAAAAAAAAAACCAUCAUAGUUGAUCAACCGUGGUAAGGUAGGGGUGGUAGUAAGUGUACUACAUUCCACCACGGGUUAAGGUCCGUUGUGAAAAAAUGGAUAACGCGCUACAUUUUACCAUAGUUAGAAAUUCCAACUGUGGUGAUAUGUAGUCAGCCCACUUUUCACCACGAUUCGAACUUCCAACCAUGGUGAUAUGUCAAUCAACCCACCUUUCACCACGGUUGGAAGAUCCAACCAUGGUGAAAUAUCAUUCAACCCACUUUUCACCACAGCUGGAAGUUCCAGCUGUGGCACAAACUCAAUCAACCCAAUUUGUUAUUUAUUUUUGCCACAUGUUUUGACUGACUACAUUGAGAACUUUCAUCAUAAUAUAUAAUUCAAAAUAUUUCUAACACAAGAACAAGAACAACAAGAACAACAACAAUAAUAACAACAACAACAAGAGCAAGAACAAGAAAAANNNNNNNNNNNNNNNNNNNNNNNNNNNNNNNNNNNNNNNNNNNNNNNNNNNNNNNNNNNNNNNNNNNNNNNNNNNNNNNNNNNNNNNNNNNNNNNNNNNNNNNNNNNNNNNNNNNNNNNNNNNNNNNNNNNNNNNNNNNNNNNNNNNNNNNNNNNNAAAAUUACAAGAACAAUAAAAACAACAACGAAAUAAAAUCAAUUGGAUCAUUAAACAUUAAAUCUCAAAAACAACAACAACAAAACAAAAUCAACACAACCACUAAAUAUUAAAUAUCAACAACAACAACAACACCAACAAUAAUAAAAACAACAACAAAAAGAAAAACAACAAGAAAAAUAAAAUCAAUAAAAUCAUUAAACCACUACUACAAAAAAACAUGUUACAGUAGAUGUUACAUCGGGUACACAUACGAGUUAACCAAGGACGAUAUGAAAAAUUGUCACUUUACCCACCGAUUUCUAAAUAACCAAGGGGUAAAGUGGAAAUGUCAUGUAUUGAUCCCUAGUGAGAUCCUCUAAGGAAUAUUAAUUCCGAAAAAACUUAUCCCCUCGGUUUUGAAAUAUAACCGAUGGGUAAAAUAAGCUUGAGUUUAUUAUAUCUACUAUGGAUUGCUUUUAUUUAACCCUAGAUGAACAUCUAACUUUUCAAAUUAAAUUAUUGUGUUUAGUUGAUAGUACUAUUGAUGCAAUUUACAAAUCAUUGAUGCAUAUCUAAAUCAUAGUCUUAACUUCGAUAAUGAAACUUCCACAAUUGGAAAAAAAACCAUCAUAGUUGAUCAACCGUGGUAAGGUUGGGGUGGUAGUAAGUGUACUUCAUUCCACCUUGGGUUAGGUCCGUUGUGAAAAAAUGGAUAACGCGCUACAUUUUACCAUAGUUAGAAAUUAGAAACUGUGGUGAUAUGUAGUCAGCCCACUUUUCACCACGAUUCGAGCUUCCAACCAUGGUGAUAUGCCAAUCAACCCACUUUUCACCACGGUUAGAAGUUCCAACCAUGGUGAAAUAGCAUUCAACCCACUUUUCACCACAGUUGGAAGUUCCAGUCGUGGCAAAAAGUCAAUCAACCCAAUUUUUUAUUUAUAUUUGUCACAUGUUUUGACUGACUACAUUGAGAACUUUCAUCAUAAUAUAUAAUUCAGAAUAUUUCUAACACAAGAACAAGAACAACAAGAAAAACAACAAUAAUAAUAACAACAACAACAAGAGAAAGAACAAGAAAAAGAAAAUAACAAGAACAAUAAAAACAACAACGAAAUAAAAUCAAUUAGAUCAUUAAACAUUAAAUCUCAAAAACAACAACAACAAAACAAAAUCAACACAAUCGCUAAAUAUUAAAUAUCAAUAACAACAACAACAAAAAUAAAAUCAAUAAAAUCAUUAAACCACUACUACAAAAAAGACAUGUUACAGUAGAUGUUACAUCGGUUACACAUAGAAGGUAACAAGGGACGAUAUGAAAAAUUGUCACUUUACCCACCGAUUUCUAAAUAACUAAGGGGUAAAGUGGAAAUGUCAUGUGAUUGAUCCCUAGUGAGAUCCUUUAAGAAAUAUUAAUUGCGAAAAAACUUAUACCCUCGGUUUUGAAAUAUAACCGACGAGUAAAAUAAGCUUGAGUUUAUUAUAUCUACUGUGGAUUGCUUGUAUUUAGCUCUAAUUGAACAUCUAACUUUCCAAAUUGGAUUAUUGUGAUAGUUGCUAGUACUAUUGAUGCAAUUUACAAAUCAUUGAUGCAUAUCUAAAUCAUGAUCUUAACUUCGAUAAUGAAACUUCCAAAAUUGGAAAAAAACCAUCAUAGUUGAUAAACCGUGGUAAGGUAGGGGUGGUAGUAAGUGUACUACAUUCCACCACGGGUUAAGGUCUGUUGUGAAAAAAUGGAUAACGCGCUAUAUUUUACCAUAGUUAAAAAUUCUAACUGUGGUGAUAUGUAGUCAGCCCACUUUUCACCACGAUUCGAACUUCCAACCAUGGUGAUAUGUCAAUCAACCCACUUUUCACCACGGUUGGAAGAUCCAACCAUUGUGAAAUAUCAUUCAACCCACUUUUCACCGCAGCUGGAAGUUCCAGCUGUGGCACAAAGUCAAUCAACCCAAUUUGUUAUUUAUUUUUGCCACAUGUUUUGACUGACUACAUUGAGAACUUUCAUCAUAAUAUAUAAUUCAGAUAUAAAGAUUGUGUUCUUGUUCUUGUUGUUCUUGUUGUUGUUAAAUAACAACAACAUCAAGAGCAAGAACAAGAAAAGGAAAAUUACAAGAACAAUAAAAACAACAACGAAAUAAAAUCAAUUGGAUAUUUAAACAUUAAAUCUCAAAAACAACUACAACAAAACAAAAUCAACACAACCGCUAAAUAUUAAAUAUCAACAACAACAACAACAACAACAAAAACAACAACAAACAAAAUAAAAUCAAUAAAAUCAUUAAACCACUACUACAAAAAAAACAUUUUAGAAUAGAUGUUACAUCGGUUACACAUACGAGGUAACUAAGGACGACAUGAAAAAUUGUCACUUUACCCACCGAUUUCUAAAUAACCAAGGGGUAAAGUGGCAAUGUCAUGUGAUUGAUCCCUAGUGAGAUCCUUUAAGGAUUAUUAAUUGCGAAAAAACUUAUCCGCUCGGUUUUGAAAUAUAACCGACGUGUAAAAUCAGUUUGAGUUUUAUUUAUCUAUUGUGGAUUGCUUUUAUUUAGCCCUAGCUGAACAUCUAACUUUUCAAAUUGGAUUAUUGUGAUAGUUGACAGUACUAUUGAUGCAAUUUACAAAUCAUUGAUGCAUAUCUAAAUCGUAGUCUUAACUUCGAUAAUGAAACUUCCACAAUUGGAAAAAAAGCAUCAUAGUUGAUAAACCGUGGUAAGGUAGGGGUGGUAGUAAGUGUACUACAUUCCACCACUGGUUAAUGUCCGUUGUGAAAAAAUGGAUAACGCGCUACAUUUUACCAUAGUUAGAAAUUCCAACUGUGGUGAUAUGUAGUCAGCCCACUUUUCACCACGAUAAGAACUUCCAACCAUGGUGAAAUGUCAGUCAACCCACUUUUCACCACGGUUGGAAGUUCCAACCAACCACUUUAUAGUAAGUUGGGUGAAAAGUGGUGCCAACCUUCAAGGUCCCGUGGCAAAAAGUCAAUCAACCCAAUUUUUUAUUUAUUUUUGCCACAUGUUUUGACUGACUACUUUGAGAACUUUCAUUAUAAUAUAUAAUUCAAAAUAUUUUUAACACAAGAACAACAACAACAAGAACAACAAUAAUAAUAACAACAACAACAAGAGCAAGAACAAGAAAAAGAAAAUAACAAAACAAUAAAAGCAACAACGAAAUAAAAUCAAUUGGAUCAUUAAACAUUAAAUCUCAACAACAAAAACAACAAAACAAAAUCAACACAAUCGCUAAACAUUAAAUAACAACAACAACAACAACAAUAAUAAAAACAACAACAAAAGAAAAACAACCACACAAAUAAAAUCAAUAAAAUCAUUAAAAUACUACUACAAAAAAGACAUCUUACAGUAGAUGUUCCUUCGGUUACACAUACGAGGUAACUAAGGACGACAUGAAAAAUUGUCACUUUACCCACCGAUUCCUAAAUAACCAAGGGGUAAAGUGGCAAUGUCAUGUGAUUGAUCCCUAGCGAGAUCCUUUAAGGAAUAUUAAUUGCGAAAAAACUUAUCACCUCGAUUUUGAAAUAUAACCGAUGGGUAAAAUAAGCUUGAGUUUAUUAUAUCUAUUGUGGAUUGCUUGUAUUUAGCCCUAGCUGAACAUAUAACAUUUCAAAUUGGAUUAUUUUGAUAGUUGAUAGUACUAUUGAUGCAAUUUACAAAUCAUUGAUGCAUAUCUAAAUCAUAGUCUUAACUUCGAUAAUGAAACUUCCACAAUUGGAAAAAAAACCAUCAUAGCUGAUCAACCGUGGUAAGGUAGGGGCGGUAGUAAGUGUACUAUAUUCCACCACGGGUUAAGGUACGUUGUGAAAAAAUGGAUAACGCGCUACAUUUUACCAUAGUUAGAAAUUCCAACUGUGGUGAUAUGUAGUCAGCCCACUUUUCACCACGAUUCGAACUUCCAACCAUUGUGAUAUGUCAAUCAACCCACUUUUCACCACGGUUGGAAGUUCCAACCAUGGUGAAAUAUCAUUCAACCCACUUUGCACCACGAUUGGAAGUUCCAGCCGUGGCAAUAAGUCAAUCAACCCAAUUUUUUAUUUAUUUUUGCCACAUGUUUUGACUAACUAUAUUGAGAAUUUUCAUCAUAAUAUAUAAGUCAAAAUAUUUCUAACACAAGAACAAGAACAACAAGAACAACAACAAUAAUAACAACAACAACAAGAGCAAGAACAAGAAAAAGAAAUUAACAAGAACAAUAAAAACAACAACGAAAUAAAAUCAAGUAUGACUUAAUCAUGAGUCGAGCUUUAUUGUGAAGUGGGAUAACAUUAAAGCAUGAAGACUAUUAUGUUUAUAGACUGAUGAUCACAUCUCAUGGAUCAUGGAUAAGGAGUUAUCAAGUCUGAAACAUAGGUAUGAAUAUUAAGAGUAAAUAUUAACUGGAUUGACCCGCUAAUGAAUACCUAAUAUAGAAUGUUACGGCAAAGGUCAUAAGUUUAUUCUAUGGUGGAUAAUGUACGUAUAACCACCGCUUCGACCUGAAACACUAUGGACCCCUAGAUGUAGAGUCGAGUGCUUAUAUGCUGAUCAAGAAGUUGCGAACUGAUGACCAUAAGAUAGUAUGGGUAUCCCCACGACCCAUAGCAAGGACAUAGUGAACCUAGAUGGAAUUUUGCCGCAUCCCUCGUAACAUGGAUAAAAUUCUAGUGGCCCAAAUAUUGAACUGGACAAGGAUGACAGCUAAUGCUCUGUGGUCACAUAAGCAUAAGGUAAAGGGUAAUUAUCACAUAAUAUUAUCACAUAUAGAUUUGUCAGAUCACAAUGACAUUUUCUGUUGCUUGGGUAGCAGUGAAUGUGUUGCUAGAUACAAACUCACUGUUUAUUAUUUAAGAAUACGUGAAAAAAUUAAAUAAAUAAAAUUACCCAACGCCGCGAAACCUAUAGGGUCACACACAAAGGAAGGAUGAUGAGAGAUAAGUAUCUAAGGAAUACCGUAAUGUACGGAUGCCCUUUAAGUGAAUUAUAAACAUCGUAAGGUACGGUGACUUAAGUAGAAUACGAAAUAUGGUAAGGUACCUUACGAGCUUUAAGAUGAUUGGCAUAUUAAAAUAUGGCCAUAAAUCACUUAAGUGGGUUUUAGCUGAAGCCCACACAAGUGAGUUCUAUAAAUAGACCCUUGGGUAGAAAGCAUUGUCUCUUUCCAAUUUCGUUUCUCUCUUCUUCUCUCACUCAAAGCCUUCAAUUCAUAGCAGCUAGCACUGAGAUUGAAGGAAUCCGUUCGUGUGGACUGAGUAGAGACGUGUCAUCGUUCAACAGUUCGUGAUCGCCAACAAGACGGUAACGAUUCAUCACGAUCAUGUCCAUCUCGUGGAUCAUUAAAGGAGAAAUUUUUAAAUUCCGCUGCGUUUGAGAUCGCUAAUCUCCUUCAGUGGUAUCAGAGCCACUUACGAAACAUGAAUUGUAUAUUUAUUUUUCUAUAAUAUACAAUUAAAGACAGAAUGAAUCAAAGAAUAAACGAGUAAUUAAAUCGAGAUCGAUCAGUUUUUAUAUACUGAUAUAAUAUAUCCUGAUGCAAAAUACGAUAUAUAAUGAUAUACUGUUCCUGUUCAUUCAUUCAAACACUUAAUGGUUGUUUUCCUUUGAGCGAUCAAUGGUCGUUUGCUUCUUGAUCCGACAUUAGUAAUGGUGAAGCAAUGAUGUGUUGAUCAAUCAUACCUGAAUCAACAAUCGAGAUGUGUUUGACGGUCUGAAUAUGGUGCAUUAGGGUUAGUGACGGCACAAGGUUGUGUUGUCAAAGAGUAUGCGAUUGGGUUGUGACUGCACAAAGAGUUUUACUUUAUAACAGAUUUAACAGUGUUAACCGGUUAACGUAUUUGGUUAACGGCGGUUUAACGCAAGACGGAAUACUGCUUUAUAACAGAUUUCAAACCAGUGUUAACCGGUUAAUGUAUUGGUUAACCGUAUACGCAGAACGGAAUACUGCUUUCUAACAGAUUUCAAACAGUGUUAACCGGUUAACGUGUUUGGUUAACUGGUUAACGCAAGACGGAUACAAUUUUCUAACAGUUUUUCACAAGUGUACCGUUAACGCAUUGGUUAACCGUUAAGCAAGACAGAAUACAUCCGUCGGCUAACUCUGUAGUGUGAUCGGUCGUACGAGAUUAUAAUUUGGUUUUAAUUAAUAUAAAAGAAUUAAAAUUAUAUAUAUUAAUGUGUUUAUUAUGUUGUCUUGUGGUGAUCGAUUAUGGCCUUAGUUUUCCUUAUUUUGUUUUGGAUUUUUAAAAUAAACUGCGUGUCGUGCCUCCUCUAUUUAAAUCUCUCAAUGAUAACUUCUUUUCCAUAAUACCCUCGUAUGUAAACGAGUUUCUUUAUGUAAUAAUAUGUUAUGAAGAAAGAAAAGAAGUCAGUGCCAAAAAGAGACAACCUUGAAGAUUUGCUUGAAGAAGCUUAGAUCGUAUAUUAAGUUAACUUAGUUCUCAUUGGCUGGGAGAACAAUGCGCCUAGGGGCUAACUGUUUCAUAUAUAAUAUAGUAUGUUGAUGCAUGUGAAUGUAGUUGAUGCAUGUGAGAGACAUUUAUAUGAUAAAUAGCCGCGUGAGAUCAGAAUAAUUGCAAAUUCCCUCUCAAAUUAAUAUUAAGUUUAUGCUUUCCAAGUUUUAACACUCAUCAGACUAGUAUCGGAUAAUGUAGGUUCGCCUACGCGAGGUGCAUGUUCUAUAUUAGUAAGGUGCGAUGGGAAAUUGUAAUAUCCAAUUGUUAAAACAAAUGGGUCCAAACUUAACUAACAAAUUAAUAAUAAGAUUAUAUUGCUUUAGAAGCAAGAGUUGGCAAAUGAUCCAUGUACACACUCAUUUAAGCCGAUGAGAAUAGGAGUUAUUCACGCAAACUAACAAAUAUUCACGAGAGUUGAUAAUUAGAAUAAUUGGAAAGGAGUUCCUACUAGAAUACACCUAGUUUUGUGUAAUCCGCCUACGCGGGACUUAAAACGAACUGAAAUUGGAUCGCUGACCCACUAGAAAAUCUUCCCAACGGGGAUUGUUCCGAAUCAAAUGAGUGAGGGUCAUUUAUUUUGCAGUAAAAUAGUGGGAGCGUAUUUAAUUACAUAGGGCUAAUUAAAUAAUGUUAUUAAUACUUAUAUUUCCUGAUUAAUUCUUAUGUAGCAUUACCAUGACAAACAAACACGCUCUAACAACAUCUUGCCCAUCAUCUUGCAAAGAAAAAUUGUUAGGACAAAUCUUCUGGAUUGGCACCGGAAACCUGAGGAUUAAUCCUAAACAUAUAAAAUCUGUUAAUGUCUUGGAGAACCUUGUUCUGAAGAGGAACCUCCUAGUUCUGGCACCUAAGGAAAGAAAUAGAGCUUAUAAGAGCAUGUCUGAUGAUGACAAAAUGAAACUGACUUGUCUCAUGCUAGCUACCAUGACUCAGAAAAUGCAAAGCAACAUGAGAACUGGCAGACAGUUCGAUAAUGAUCGAACCCUGAAUAUGCUUACUAUCAAGAAGGCAAGCCAAAGGCAUGAAAGAGUUUAAAGUUCAAAGCCAUUUUUAUCAGGAAAGUUAGCUGAGGGAGGCCCCUGUAAUGUCCCCAUAAUGGCUCAAGAUGCAUUGGGUCAUGUGAGCAAAACCUUGCAGGAGAUGGUUGUUCCUCCUCGGAAACGGAAUUCGACUGAUUUGGAUCUGCAAUCUUGCCAAUGAUCAAAGUCAAUUUGUCCUAAAUUUCAAUGAUAAAAUGAUGGACAAAUCUCUUCUGAACUGCUGCCAAUGUUAAGAACGUGCUGAGCCCCAGAAUCUGAAGUCAAAAGGGUAAGUCCAUUUCUGAUGAUCGGAAAAUGGAAAGAGAACAAAACAAAAUGGACCACACAAAGCAGAAAUGAUAAAGGGAAGAAGGAAGUAUGCCAAACCCAAACCCACCGUUGCUGCUUAAAGCCCUAUGGAGACUAGCAUAGAGGCACCGCUUCAAUUGCGGUAGCAGACGGACACUGGAAGAGACUAGCCAAAUACUGAAAGAUCAAGAAGAUGAGUAGAGACUAUCACUUCAAGUAUGUUUUGUUAUUGAAUUAACUUUAUCUACUUCUGCAUCAAUGGGUAUUGAUACUGGAAUUGCGGUCUUCACAUUUCCAUGCGGGACUAAAAAAGGAUAGAGAUUGGCAAAAGGUGAAGUUCACCUAACGAGUUGCGCAACUACAAAAGGACGCAAAGGAUUGUCUGCUUUAGCCGUAGAACUAUAUGUAUUUGACAUUGAUACCUAGUGGUUUUAAUAAUUCAGUUAGAGAAUGUUAUUAUGUACCUGCAAUAGCAGGAAUAUUAUUUUCGUUUCUUGUUUGAGCAAUGUGGUUUUCUCAUUUAUAAUAAAGAACAUAUUGUUGCUUCAUUUAUUUGAACUGAUAAAUUCUAUGCUAACUGCACCAAUGAACAAUGGACUAAUAUGUCCUUGAUCUUGAAAUGCUAUUUAUAACCAUAUACUAAAAGGAUGAAACCAGAGUUAUCCAAGCUUACCUUUGGCUUCGGUCAUUAGGCCACAUAAAAUGAGAAACACAUUCCACAACUCCAUUAAGAUGGACUCUUUGACUCUUUAAUAUUAAUGAAAUAUUGAGACAAAUGCAGAUCUUGUAUUUAAUUGAAGAUGACACAAGUCUCCAUCCUCACGGAGAAAAGGGGAAGAGCUAACUGAUCUUCUUGAGCCCUUACUACAUCACUGAUCGUAUAGAUGAGCCAAAUGACAUACCAAGCAGGGAGGUUUCAGUACUCCUGUUCAAUUACAGCUGACGUUCAUAGAUGGUAUAGUACUUAAACAAAUCGAAGGAGUUCCUUUUGAACACACACCGUCCUCUCACAGACAAUUCACGAAGAAUAGAGUACACAGAACAUAGGUAAAUAUUAAAACUCUUCGAUCAAAGCAUCGAGGUGGUGGUAUUUAAGCCUAGAUUUUUGAUGACCAUCACUGAAAAGAGGUGUGGAUCUAUCCUAUACUUACUCCUCUCAUAGAGAAACACCCAAUGAAUGGGUGAUCUGAGGAAGAAAUCGAACCCUGUUAGACAUGGUUCUGUCCAUGAUGAGUCAACGCCGAUGCUUCCAAACUCCUUUUGGGACAUGCCACUUACUAGACACAUCACGAUCUACCACACUUAAACCGUAAAGUCUCAAAAAGGUUUUGGAGAAGACACAAAUAUUGAGGUAUGGAGUGGUAAGAAAAUCCCCACAUAUGUCCUUACAAUGUAAGAUUUGGGGUUGCGAAAGCAUUUAUGUAGAAACGACAAAUAUUCAAACUAAGCUUCGGAGGCCAAAAUCUGACAAUGCUUAUUUUUGUGCGGUAAUCCUAAAGAAACAAAAGGGUAGCUACUCUCUACAGAUCCAAUAUCCAGAGGGCAAAGUCGUUUAGUCCGCGAACUUGGAGUUUUCCUAGAAGGAUUUUAUUUGCCCAAAGGAAUCAGUGGAGGAAAGUAGAGCUUGAAGAAAUUUCAAGAAUCACAAAGCAUCGAUAACACCUAUGGGGAAUUAGAGCAGCGAAAACACAAGUAGUUUUGUGGAAGAGCACCUGCCUCAAGUAGAACAAGACAGCGUAGGUCCAGACAGGAAUACAUCAACAUACUGGAGAUACGGAUAUCUCAUGACUGAUUUAAGGUGAUGUAUUACUCAUGGAUCAAGAUGAGUCUGUGACGCUACUAAAAGAGGCCAUACAAAUGGUCCCCCAAACCACCGAGUCUAGAGAAGUGGCUAAAGAACGCCAUGAAAUCUGAAAAUGGAUUCCCAUGUACACAAAACUCAGUAUUGGACCUUGGUAGAAGCAUCCUGUAGGAUUAACUUAUAUAGGAAUGCAAGUGGGUCUUCAAAAAGAAGACUGAACAUGGAUGGCAAAGGAUAUAAACAAAUUCAUGGGGUUGACUAUGAUGAAACCUUUUAUCACCCAGUUUGCAAUGCUUAAAAUCUGUUCGAUUUAUACUUGCUAUGAUGCCAUAUCAAUUGGAAAUUUAUGAAAUAUGGCAGAUGGAUGAUUAAAUAAACGCUUUCCUUAAUGGGAAUCUUCUUGAGGCUGUGUACAUAUACAACCUGAAUCAGGAUUUGACAUACCAGAAGAAGCCCAAAAGAUAAUGAAAGUUUACAAAGGUCAAUAAUAUGAUUGAAAGCAAGCUUCUUAGAACGUAGCAUAUAACUCUCGUUUUGGAUGAAACAGAUUGAAAACAAAAAUGGAUAAUCAUCAAGAAGCGAUAGCCCAUGACCUUGAAGUGUCUACAAGAAGGUUAGUGGGACAUGAACGUUUCCCAACUGUAUUAUAUGUAGAUGACAAUAUUAAUCAUUGGAAACGAUAUCUCUACCUAGAGCAACAGUAAAGUCUAUGGUUGACAGGAAAAUGCCCUUUUCUAUGAAGGACCUAGGUGAAGUAGCCUAUAUAUUAGGAUACCAGCAAUUCUAUAAAGAUAGAUCAACAAAAACUGCUUGCCUAAAGUCCAGAGUAACGUAAACAUAGACAAAGUGCUGAGCCACACGCUUUAACAUGCAUGAAUUUCCAAGAAAAGGAUUCAUAGUCCUAUGCCACAUGGCCUGCUGACUGUCAAACACAAAUCCCCUCUCAAACAUAAGGCAAGAGGGAUUCGCAUGAAAUAAGAUCCAUAUGCAUCUGGCAAUAGGAUCUAUCAUGUAUGCAAGUCAAUGAUACUUCGCCAUGUCUUCGUAAUGCUUUUAAGUGCGACGAGAUCAACUAGCCGGUACCCAAUUGACUCCUGGUGAUAGCCACCAUCCAUGGGUAGUCUGUCAAGAAAUAUCUUAAAGUAUUAUGAGAAGCCAGACUAAGGAGCUCCACUUCUUGAUAUAUGGAGAGGUAUCAGGAGAGCUAGAGCCGUAAAAGAUUUGGAUACACCGAUGCUUAAGCUUCCUAGACAGAGUAAGGAUGAACUUUAAGAUCGCAAUCUGGUUGCGUGUUUUUGGAGCUUACAACGGUGGAGCAUAGUGAGCUGGAGAAACGUUCAAAGCAAGAAUACAAAUUGCUGGAUCUACAAAAUCCGACGCAACGAGUAUAUUGCUGCCUCAAAGUGCAGCAAGAGGAAGUUGUCUUGGAUCAAAAAGUUCAUUACGCUCGAAAAUGAGCAUAUUCCUAGCAUUGUGGAAUCCCAUUAGAUCUCUAUUGGUGAUAAACAAUAGGUGCUAAUCGCAACAAGCUAAGGAGAGCGUAGAUCUCCCAACGAUCCAAACACAUCCUUAGGCAUUAUCACCUCAAUCUACGAGAGUGAAUAUGACAUCAGCCCAGGAGAUGUGAAUACUGCAGAAGUACCCCACCAACGUGAAUGAAUGCGCACGCACUGAACAGCCUACCUUGACAGCAGAAGACAUGAUGGCCAUACUAGAUCUAUGGGCAUUAGGGGUAUGCCUGAUUGGCUAUAAGUGCCUGUGGGCACGAAUUUUGGGAUGUAGAGACCCUAGCAAGCCAAACCUUUAGAGCUAGCAUGAUCUCCUGCCCAUAAUGAAUCAAACCUUGAUAGCACAGAUGCCACAAGGCCGGCGAUACACAGAAACAGUUGAAUGAUGACAACAGUCUUCGCUCCAGUCCACUCGAGACGGCAUUCCUUCAAUCCGACAGUGGGCCUANGUAUGGUGAAGCAAUGAUGUGUUGAUCAAUCAUACUGAAUCAACAAUCGAGAUGUGUUUGACGGUCUGAAAUUGGUGCAUUAGGGUUAGUGACGGCACAAGGGUUGUGUUGUCAAAGAGUUAUGCGAUUGGGGUUGUGACUGCACAAGAGUUUUACUUUAUAACAGAUUUUCAAACAGUGUUAACCGGUUAACGUAUUUGGUUAACCGGUUAACGCAAGACGGAAUACUGCUUUAUAACAGAUUUUCAAACAGUGUUAACCGGUUAAUGUAUUUGGUUAACCGGUUAACGCAAGACGGAAUACUGCUUUCUAACAGAUUUUCAAACAGUGUUAACCGGUUAACGUGUUUGGUUAACUGGUUAACGCAAGACGGAAUACAAUUUUCUAACAGUUUUUCAACAGUGUUAACCGGUUAACGCAUUUGGUUAACCGGUUAACGCAAGACAGAAUACAUCCGUUCGGCUAACUCUGGUAGUGUGAUCGGUCGUCGAGAUUUAAUUUGGUUUUAAUUAAUUAAAAGAAUUAAAAUUAAUAAUAAUUAUUAUGUGUUUAUUAUUGUUGUCUUGUGGUGAUCGAUUAUGGCCUUAGUUUUCCUUUAUUUUGUUUUGGGUUUUAAAAUACGACUUGCGUGUCGUGCCUCUCUUUUAAUCUCUCAAUGUAACUUCUUUUCUCAUCUCACUCCCUCGUAUGUAAAACGAGUUUCUUUAUGUAAUGUAAUGUUAUGAAGAAAGCAAAGAAGUCAGUGCCAAAGGAGGACAACCUUGAAGAUCUUGCUUGGAGAAGCUUAGAUCGUUAUUAGGUUAGCUUAGGUUCUCUCAUUGGCUUGGGAGAACAAUUGCGCUAGGGGCCAUAACUGUUUCAUUUUGUAUGUAUGUUGAUGCAUGUGAAUGUAUGUUGAUGCAUGUGAGAGACGAUUUAUAUGAUAAACAAGCCGGUGAGAUCAUAACAAUUGCAAUUCCCUCAAACUAAAAUAUUAAGUUUAUGCUUUCCAAGUUUUAGCACUCAUCAAGACUAGUAUCGAAUAAUGUAGGUUUCGCCAAAGCGAGGUGCAUGUUCUAUAUUAGUAAGGUGCGAUGGGAUAAUUGUAAUAUCCAACUGCUAAAACAAUGGGUCAAACUUAACUAAACAAAUUAUGAUGAUAUUAUAUAUGCUUGCUUUCCAAGUUUUAGCACUCAUCAAGACUAGUAUCGGAUAAUGUAGGUUUCGCCAAAGCGAGGUGCAUGUUCUAUAUUAGUAAGGUGCGAUGGGAUAAUUGUAAUAUCCAACUGCUAAAACAAUGGGUCAAACUUAACUAAACAAAUUAUGAUGAUAUUAUAUAUGCUUGCUUUCCAAGUUUUAGCACUCAUCAAGACUAGUAUCGGAUAAUGUAGGUUUCGCCAAAGCGAGGUGCAUGUUCUAUAUUAGUAAGGUGCGAUGGGAUAAUUGUAAUAUCCAACUGCUAAAACAAUGGGUCAAACUUAACUAAACAAAUUAUGAUGAUAUUAUAUAUGCUUGCUUUCCAAGUUUUAGCACUCAUCAAGACUAGUAUCGGAUAAUGUAGGUUUCGCCAAAGCGAGGUGCAUGUUCUAUAUUAGUAAGGUGCGAUGGGAUAAUUGUAAUAUCCAACUGCUAAAACAAUGGGUCAAACUUAAUUAUAAUUUUCUUAUAUAUGUUUUAGAAGCAAGAGUUGGGAAUGAUCCAUAUGAUGGAUUGGAAUAAGGAGUUAUUCACCCAACUGAAAUUUUCGAGAGUUGUAUGAGAUACAAUUGGAAGGAGUUCCUACCUAAAUAACCUAGUUUUGUGUAAUCCGCCUACGCGGACUUAGAACGAAGUGAAAUAUGGAUCUCGACCCACUAGAAAAUCUUCCAACGGGAUUUUCCGAAUCAAAUGAUGAGGGUCAUUUGUUUUGAGUAAAAUAGUGGGAGCAUAUUUGAUUAAAGGCCUAAUUAAAUAUGUCAAUGAUACUUAUAUUUUCUUAAUCCUUAUGUAGAUAACCAUGACAGCAAACACCUCUAACAACAUCUUGCGAUCAAUCCUUGACAAGGAAAAAUUGUCUGGGACAAAUUUUCUGGAUUGGCACCGAAACCUGAGGAUUAUCCUCAAACAUGAUAAAAAGUUGUAUGUCUUGGAGACACCUGUUCCUGAAGAGGAACCUCCUAGUUCUGCACCUAAGGCAGAAAGAGAUGCUUAUAAGAAGCAUGUCGAUGAUGCCAAUGAAACUGCUUGUCUCAUGCUGGCUACCAUGAACUCAGAAUUGCAAAAGCAACAUGAGAACAUGUCAGCGUUCGAUAUGAUCGAACACCUGAAGCUGCUCUAUCAAGAGCAAGCAAGGCAUGAGAGGUUUGAAGUUUCAAAAGCCCUUUUUCAAAGCAAGUUAGCUGAGGGAGCCCCUGUAGGUCCCCAUGUACUCAAGAUGAUUGGGUAUGUGGAAAACCUUGAGAGAUUGGGUUUUCCCCUCGAAAAGGAACUUGCAACUGAUUUGAUCUUGCAAUCGUUGCCAGAUAGUUUCAGUCAAUUUGUCCUAAAUUUCAAUAUGAUUGAUAUGGACAAAUCUCUUCCUGAACUGCUCGCCAUGUUAAGAACUGCCGAGCAGAAUCUGAAGUCAAAAGGGAAGUCCAUUCUGAUGAUCGGAAAUGGAAAGAGACAGAACAAAAGGCCCACUAAGCAGGGUGAUAAAGGGAAAGGCAAGGAAGUUGCCAAACCCAAACCCACCGUUGCUGCUUUGAAGCCUAGUGGAGGCAUAGCAAAGGAAGGCACCUGCUUCCAUUGCGGUAAGACCGGACACUGGAAGAGAAACUGCCCAAAGUACCUGGAAGAUAAGAAGAAUGGAGUAGAGACUUCAACUUCAGGUAUUUUUGUUAUUAAAAUUAAUUUAUCUACUUCUGCAUCAUGGGUAUUAGAUACUGGAUGCGGUUCUCACAUUUGUACAAAUGUGCAGGGACUAAAAAGGAGUAGAGAUUUGGCAAAAGGUGAAGUCGACCUACGAGUUGGCAAUGGAGCAAAGGUUGCUGCUUUAGCCGUAGGAACUUAUGUAUUGACUUUACCUAGUGGUUUAAUAAUUCAGUUAGAGAACUGUUAUUAUGUACCUGCAAUUAGCAGGAAUAUUAUUUCCGUUUCUUGUUUGGACAAGUUUGGUUUUUCAUUUAUAAUAAAGAACAAUUGUUGCUCAAUUUAUUUGAAUGAUAUAUUCUAUGCUACUGCACAAAUGAACAAUGGACUAUAUGUCCUUGAUCUUGAAAUGCCUAUUUAUAACAUUAAUACUAAAAGGAUGAAACCUAAUGAGUUAAAUCCAACUUACCUUUGGCAUUGUCGAUUAGGCCACAUAAAUGAGAAACGCAUUUCCAAACUCCAUAAAGAUGGACUCUUGGACUCUUUUGAUUAUGAAUCAUAUGAGACAUGCAGAUCUUGUUUAAUUGGAAAGAUGACAAAGUCUCCAUUCACAGGAAAAGGUGAAAGAGCUAAUGAUCUUUUGGCCCUCAUACAUACUGAUGUAUGUGGACCACUGAACAUACCAGCCAGAGGAGGUUUUCAGUACUUCAUCACAUUUACUGAUGAUUUCAGUAGAUAUGGUUAUGUGUAUUUAAUGAAACACAAAUCAGAGUCCUUUGAAAAGUUCAAGGAAUUCAAGAAUGAAGUACAAAACCAACUAGGUAAGAAUAUUAAAACUCUUCGAUCAGAUCGAGGUGGUGAGUAUUUAAGCCUAGAGUUUGAUGACCAUCUGAAAGAGUGUGGGAUCCUAUCCCAACUUACUCCUCCUGGAACACCCCAAUGGAAUGGUGUAUCUGAGAGAAGAAAUCGAACCCUGUUAGACAUGGUCCGAUCCAUGAUGAGUCACGCCGAUCUUCCAAACUCCUUUUGGGGACAUGCACUAUUGACAGCAGCUUACACACUUAACCGUGUUCCAUCCAAAAAGGUUGAGAAGACACCAUAUGAGAUAUGGAGUGGUAAGAAACCACAUAUGUCUUACAUGAAGAUUUGGGGUUGCGAAGUUUAUGUGAAACGACAAAUUUCAACUAAGCUUGAGCCCAAAUCUGACAAAUGCUUAUUUGUGGGGUAUCCUAAAGAAACAAGAGGGUAUUACUUCUACAAUCCUUCUGAGGGCAAAGUGUUUGUCGCUCGAACUGGAGUUUUCCUAGAAAAGGAUUUUAUUUCCAAAGGAAUCAGUGGGAGGAAAGUAGAGCUUGAAGAAAUUCAAGAAUCACAAAGCAUCGAUACACCUAUGGAGGAAUUAGAGCAGGAAACACAAGUAGUUGUGGAAGAGCAACCUGCUCAAGUAGAACAAGACCAGCGUAGGUCAAGCAGGAUACGUCACCUACCUGAGAGAUAUGGAUAUCUCAUAACUGAUCAAGGUGAUGUAUUACUCAUGGAUCAAGAUGAGCCUGUGACCUACCAAGAGGCCAUAACUGGUCCCGAGUCUGAGAAGUGGCUAGAAGCCAUGAAAUCUGAAAUGGAUUCCAUGUACACAAACCAAGUUUGGACCUUGGUAGAGCCUCCUGUAGGAGUUAACCCUAUAGGAUGCAAGUGGGUCUUCAAAAAGAAGACUGACAUGGAUGGUAAGGUACAUACCUAUAAGGCAAGACUGGUUGCAAAAGGAUAUAAACAAAUUCAUGGGGUUGACUAUGAUGAAACCUUUUCACCAGUUGCAAUGCUUAAAUCUGUUCGGAUUUUACUUGCUAUCGAUGCAUAUCAUGAUUAUGAAAUAUGGCAGAUGGAUGUUAAAACUGCUUUCCUUAAUGGGAAUCUUCUUGAGGAUGUGUACAUGAUACAACCUGAAGGAUUUGACAUACCAGAAGAAGCCCAAAAGAUAUGGAAGUUACAAAGGUCAAUAUAUGGAUUGAAGCAAGCUUCUAGAAGCUAGAAUCUUCGUUUUGAUGAAACAGUAAAACAAAAUGGAUUCAUCAAGAACGAAGAUGAGCCUUGUGUCUACAAGAAGGUUAGUGGGAGCAUGAACGUUUUCCUGGUAUUAUAUGUAGAUGACAUAUUACUCAUUGGAAACGAUAUCUCUACCCUGCAACAAGUAAAGUCUUGGUUGGGGAAAUGCUUUUCUAUGAAGGACCUAGGUGAAGUAGCCUAUAUAUUAGGAAUCAGAAUCUAUAAAGAUAGAUCACAAAAACUGCUUGGCCUAAGUCAGAGUACGUACAUAGACAAAGUGCUGAGACGCUUUAACAUGCAUGAUUCCAAGAAAGGAUUCAUACCUAUGCAACAUGGCCUGUGUCUGUCAAAAACACAAUCCCCUUCAACUAAGGAAGAAAGGGAUCGCAUGAAUAAGAUUCCAUAUGCAUCUGCAAUAGGAUCUAUCAUGUAUGCCAUGUUAUGUACUCGACCAGAUGUCUCGUAUGCUUUAAGUGCAACGAGUAGGUACCAAUCUGAUCCUGGUGAUGCCCAUUGGGUAGCUGUCAAGAAUAUCCUUAAGUAUUUGAGAAGGACUAAGGACUCAUUCUUGAUAUAUGGAGGUCAGGAAGAGUUGGCUGUAAUUGGAUACACCGAUGCUAGCUUCCAGACAGAUAAGGAUGACUUUAGAUCGCAAUCUGGUUAUGUGUUUUGCUUAAACGGUGGCGCUGUGAGCUGGAAAAGUUCAAAGCAAGAUACAGUUGCUGAUUCUACAACCGAGGCCGAGUAUAUUGCUGCCUCAAGUGCAGCAAAGGAAGCUGUUUGGAUCAAAAAGUUCAUUAGUGAACUUGNNNNNNNNNNNNNNNNNNNNNNNNNNNNNNNNNNNNNNNNNNNNNNNNNNNNNNNNNNNNNNNNNNNNNNNNNNNNNNNNNNNNNNNNNNNNNNNNNNNNNNNNNNNNNNNNNNNNNNNNNNNNNNNNNNNNNNNNNNNNNNNNNNNNNNNNNNNNNNNNNNNNNNNNNNNNNNNNNNNNNNNNNNNNNNNNNNNNNNNNNNNNNNNNNNNNNNNNNNNNNNNNNNNNNNNNNNNNNNNNNNNNNNNNNNNNNNNNNNNNNNNNNNNNNNNNNNNNNNNNNNNNNNNNNNNNNNNNNNNNNNNNNNNNNNNNNNNNNNNNNNNNNNNNNNNNNNNNNNNNNNNNNNNNNNNNNNNNNNNNNNNNNNNNNNNNNNNNNNNNNNNNNNNNNNNNNNNNNNNNNNNNNNNNNNNNNNNNNNNNNNNNNNNNNNNNNNNNNNNNNNNNNNNNNNNNNNNNNNNNNNNNNNNNNNNNNNNNNNNNNNNNNNNNNNNNNNNNNNNNNNNNNNNNNNNNNNNNNNNNNNNNNNNNNNNNNNNNNNNNNNNNNNNNNNNNNNNNNNNNNNNNNNNNNNNNNNNNNNNNNNNNNNNNNNNNNNNNNNNNNNNNNNNNNNNNNNNNNNNNNNNNNNNNNNNNNNNNNNNNNNNNNNNNNNNNNNNNNNNNNNNNNNNNNNNNNNNNNNNNNNNNNNNNNNNNNNNNNNNNNNNNNNNNNNNNNNNNNNNNNNNNNNNNNNNNNNNNNNNNNNNNNNNNNNNNNNNNNNNNNNNNNNNNNNNNNNNNNNNNNNNNNNNNNNNNNNNNNNNNNNNNNNNNNNNNNNNNNNNNNNNNNNNNNNNNNNNNNNNNNNNNNNNNNNNNNNNNNNNNNNNNNNNNNNNNNNNNNNNNNNNNNNNNNNNNNNNNNNNNNNNNNNNNNNNNNNNNNNNNNNNNNNNNNNNNNNNNNNNNNNNNNNNNNNNNNNNNNNNNNNNNNNNNNNNNNNNNNNNNNNNNNNNNNNNNNNNNNNNNNNNNNNNNNNNNNNNNNNNNNNNNNNNNNNNNNNNNNNNNNNNNNNNNNNNNNNNNNNNNNNNNNNNNNNNNNNNNNNNNNNNNNNNNNNNNNNNNNNNNNNNNNNNNNNNNNNNNNNNNNNNNNNNNNNNNNNNNNNNNNNNNNNNNNNNNNNNNNNNNNNNNNNNNNNNNNNNNNNNNNNNNNNNNNNNNNNNNNNNNNNNNNNNNNNNNNNNNNNNNNNNNNNNNNNNNNNNNNNNNNNNNNNNNNNNNNNNNNNNNNNNNNNNNNNNNNNNNNNNNNNNNNNNNNNNNNNNNNNNNNNNNNNNNNNNNNNNNNNNNNNNNNNNNNNNNNNNNNNNNNNNNNNNNNNNNNNNNNNNNNNNNNNNNNNNNNNNNNNNNNNNNNNNNNNNNNNNNNNNNNNNNNNNNNNNNNNNNNNNNNNNNNNNNNNNNNNNNNNNNNNNNNNNNNNNNNNNNNNNNNNNNNNNNNNNNNNNNNNNNNNNNNNNNNNNNNNNNNNNNNNNNNNNNNNNNNNNNNNNNNNNNNNNNNNNNNNNNNNNNNNNNNNNNNNNNNNNNNNNNNNNNNNNNNNNNNNNNNNNNNNNNNNNNNNNNNNNNNNNNNNNNNNNNNNNNNNNNNNNNNNNNNNNNNNNNNNNNNNNNNNNNNNNNNNNNNNNNNNNNNNNNNNNNNNNNNNNNNNNNNNNNNNNNNNNNNNNNNNNNNNNNNNNNNNNNNNNNNNNNNNNNNNNNNNNNNNNNNNNNNNNNNNNNNNNAAAGCACUCGACUCUACAUCUAGGAUCCAUAGUGGUUUCAGGUCGAAGAGUGGUAUACACUAUUAUCACCAUGAGAAUAACUUAUGACACUUUGCAUAACUUUCUAUAUAGUAUUCUCAUAGCGGGUCAAUCCGGUAUAAAUAUUACUCUUAAUAUUCAUACCUAUGUUUAAGACUUGAUAACUCUUUAUCCAUGAUCCAUGAGAUGUGAUCAUCAGUCUACAAACAUAAUAGUCUUAAUGCUUUAAUGUUAUCCCACUUCACACUAAAGCUCGACUACGGAUACUUUAAGAAUAGUGUCCUUAUGUUUAAUGUGUUCUCAUGAUUAAGUCACACUUAAUACAUUAAACGGACUAUCUAUUCCAGGGACUUUAUUAAUCAACCAUAAUAAAGAAAAUGCCUUUAAAUAAUUCGAUACAAGUACCAAAAGUAUUGGCCUCUAGGGCUUACACCAACAGCCAAUACUUUUGGUACUUGUAUCGAAUUAUUUAUUAAUAAUAAAAGGCUUUUUCUUUAUUAUGUUUGUUUAAUAAAGUCCCACUUUUCAUCACGGUUGGAAGUUCCAACCAUGGUGAAAUAUCAUUCAACACACUUUUCACCACGGUCGGAAGUUCCAUCCAUGGCAAAAAUUUAAUCAACCCAAUUUAAUAUUUAUUUUUGCCACAUGUUUUGACUGACUACAUUAAGAACAUUCAUCAUAAUAUAUAAUUCAAAAUAUUUCUAACACAAGAACAACAAGAACAUCAACAAUAAUAACAACAAAAUCAAGAGCAAGAACAAGAAAAAGAAAAUAACAAGAACAAUUAAAACAACAACAAAAUAAAAUCAAUUGGAUCAUUAAACAUUAAAUCUCAACAACACCAACAACAAAACAAAGUCAACACAAUCGUUAAAUAUUAAAUAUCAACAACAACAACAAUAAUAAAAACAACAACAAAAGAAAAACAACAACAAAAAUAAAAUCAAUAAAGUGGAAAUGUUAAACAUACGAGGUAACUAAUGACGAUUUAAAAAAUAUUAAAUAUCUUAUAGUUGAUGUUACAUCGGUUACACAUACGAGGUAACUAAUGACGAUUUGAAAAAUUGUCACUUUUCCCACCGAUUUCUUAAUAACCAAGGGGUAAAGUGGAAAUGUCAUGUGAUUGAUCCCUAGUGAGAUCCUUUGAGGAAUAUUAAUUGCGAAAAAACUUAUCCCCUCGGUUUUGAAAUAUAACCGACAGGUAAAAUAAGCUUGAGUUUAUUAUAUCUAUUGUGGAUUGCUCGUAUUUAGCCAUAGCUGAACAUAUAACUUUUCAAAUUGAAUUAUUGUAAUAGUUGCUAGUACUAUUGAUGCAAUUUACUAAAUCAUUGAUGCAUAUCUAAAUCAUAGUCUUAACUUCGACAAUGAAACUUCCAUAAUUGGAAAAAAAAACCAUCAUAGUUGAUCAACCGUGGUAAGGUAGGGGUGGCAGUAAGUGUACUACAUUCCACCACAGGUUAAGGUUCGUUGCGAAAAAAUGGAUAAUGCGCUACAUUUUACCAUAGUUAGAAAAUCGAAUAGUGGUGAUAUGUAGUCAACCCACUUUUCACCAUGAUUCGAACUUCCAACCAUGGUGAAAUGUCAGUCAACCCACUUUUCACCACGGUUGGAAGUCCAACCAUGGUGAAAUAUCAUUCAACCCACUUUUCGCCACGGUUGGAAGUUCCAGCCGUGGCAAAAAGUCAAUCAACCCAAUUUUUUAUAUAUUUUUGCCACAUGUUUUGACUGACUACAUUGAGUACUUUCAUCAUAACAUAUAAUUCAAAAUAUUUAUAACACAAGAACAAGAACUACAAGAACAACAACAAUUAUAACAACAACAACAAGAGCAAGAACAAGAAAAAGAAAAUAACAAGAACAAUAAAAACAACAACGAAAUAAAAUCAAUUGGAUCAUUAAACAUUAAAUCUCAAUAACAACAACAAUAAAACAAAAUCAACACAAUCGCUAAAUAUUAAAUAUCAACAACAAUAAUAAAAACAACAAGAAAAGAAAGACAACUGUCGCAUCCGCGAAAAAACAACCGGCGGGACUCAAAUAAAAACACAACACAGAGCCGCCACUGCGCGUUAUUUAUCCCAAGAUAGGGAAAGGAAACGCUCAGAGAAACCUGGAAAGGAAAUGAUUUUGACCCAUUUGCCAUUUCGCAUUGUGAAAUUCUGCAUGCCUAAAAGAAAUGUUUGAAAUUUUUGUGGUGAUUCUAGACAUGUGCUGGGGUUUACAAUGUAAAGUUCAAUUUUUGAUACCUGUGGAGUGAGAUAUGAUUUUUGAAACUUAGUGUGACAAUUUGUGUCAGCACUUAGCUAAGGUCAACUUCAAUGAAAUUAUUUGCCUAGCCUAAUGAUUGUUGGAAAUGAGUUGAAUUUUGCAUGGAUGAUUAUUGAUCAUGUUAGGUGUGAUGUGAAGUUUCUGGAUUUUUUGUGGCAUUUUCAAUUUGAUUGGUAUUUUUCAUCUGCUGUUGUCAAAUGUGCAAGUUCAUGUGUACAUGCUUGAAUAUCUUGUUGAGAAUGCUCAUUAUGUUUUAGAUGAACAUGCAAUUUGGUAUGAUGGUUGUAGACACAUUGUAGGACAUCCCUGUUUUGGUCCCAUUCAUUUCUUAAUUGUUUUCAAUUGACUUAUGAUUUUUUGAAGUGAAUGUAUGUGUUGAUGGCUAUGAAUUGGCUUACAUAAUCUUGUCUGGAUUUCUUGAUUUCAUUGACAUAGUUCUUGUCCAAUGAGCUGAAAAUUGACAUGCGAUACCUUGAAUAUGUCCUGUUUAGGUGUAAAUUAUUUGAGGAUUUUGGAAUUGUUUUGAUUAUGCUUUUGAGUGCAAUAGUUCUGUUUGGACAUUGGAUGUUGCAUUUGACCGUAGUUUGACUCUGUUUUGGUCAUGCAAAUGAAUAUGAUGAAUGGUAGAAGUAUGGGAUCAAAUUGAUUUGCUUUCUAUUUGCUUAACUUGAUUUUGGUUGACGAAUUACUUGGCUGUUUGAAUUUUUUCUCCCUUUUGGACCCUAGGCUUGGCUAGUGGUCAGUUUCUCACAUUUGGAUGACUUUUCAGGAUGAAAUGCACAAAGCUUAAGGAGAAUGAUUCAAGUCAAUAAAAUUGAAUUUGUUUGAUGUGGAGAGACUAACAUAACUUUGUUUUGUAGGUUUGUGAGCUUGAGCUUGAGCUUGUAGCUUGCCAUUAUGUGGCUUGUGUUUGUUGUAUAAGUCUGACUGAUUAACAUUUGCUGUUUCUUGUUGUCUGUCUGAGUGCUGAAUGAACUGCGAUUGAUUUCAGUACAUUUAGCUCGCUUACAGUUCUUUAAAGAACUUGCUUGCUGCUGCUGUGUUUUUAAACCACUUGAGGUAGGACUUCUAUUCUUCAUGUAGUCUGGGAGCACGCGGCUGUUUACUUGGCCGGGCAAAAAUGCUGAAGUCCUCCUUAAGAGGCGAUGUUUGUGAUUGUUUAAUAUUGUGCCUAAGCAGGUGAAGUCCUCUAUGAGGCAUUGGUGGAACGCCAAGGGAUAUGCAAUCUAUCCCCCACUAUUCUGUGAGUCGUCCUCUGCUCACACGGCUAUGUGUUGAUGCAUUGGGACACAAACGCCAAGAUCUUGUGUUGUUGCACCAUCGAGUCAGAGUCUUUGAGCGUAGAAGGGGUCCCUCCAUUCUGGACCACGCUCCUUUGGUCUGAAGCUCUCGCCUGGUCAGGAUAAGAGCUGUGAGGUCUCACCUCACUCACCUUUUCAUCUGCUUCACCUUAGCCUCGUAAUGGGCAAGGUUAAGAGCGAGCAAUACCGCAUGUACAGAUGACUUGCUUCGGCAGUCAAACCAUUGUUUGAGCUUCACUUGGUUGGUUAUAGUGUGUGCUAUGUGAAUAUUUGUUUGAAAUGCUUGUUUUGACUCUGUAUGCUUGUAUGCUGCUUUCUUCUACGGAUAGGAGUAGCUUGCGCAGUUGUGCAAGUAGUAGAACACCCAACGUAGGGUAAAUGAUGCCCUGACAACACUAGGCCUCGAGUCCAGCUCCCCUGGUAGUGCGUCUUCCCGUGGUUUCUGCUAGAUUUUUUUCCCUUGAGGGGGAACUACAUCGCCCUGAUGCCUCGUGCCAGACGAGGUAUGUAGGCAGGAGGUCGUGCGAGACCUCUCCGGCACUUUUUUUUUUUUUUUUUGUGUGUGUUUGGCUUGUUAUCCUGAUUGCGUUUUUUGGUUCGGAUGCCGACGUAAGCGCAGUGAUUGGCAGUCGGGCUCCNNNNNNNNNNNNNNNNNNNNNNNNNNNNNNNNNNNNNNNNNNNNNNNNNNNNNNNNNNNNNNNNNNNNNNNNNNNNNNNNNNNNNNNNNNNNNNNNNNNNNNNNNNNNNNNNNNNNNNNNNNNNNNNNNNNNNNNNNNNNNNNNNNNNNNNNNNNNNNNNNNNNNNNNNNNNNNNNNNNNNNNNNNNNNNNNNNNNNNNNNNNNNNNNNNNNNNNNNNNNNNNNNNNNNNNNNNNNNNNNNNNNNNNNNNNNNNNNNNNNNNNNNNNNUUAUCUGAUUGCGUGUUUGGUUCGAUGCCGACGUAAGUCAGUGAUUGGUGUCGGGCUCCAACGUUUGCCUUUUGGCUAGAUGUGUUUUGGUUCGGAUGCCGACGUUUCCAUCGAGUGGUUGUCGGGCUCCAUGUUUGCCAUUUGUUUGUGUGUUUGUGUUGUUUGGCGUGCGUAAGCCGAACUACAGUGGCUCUGAUUCUUGUUCCAGACAAGAUAUGUAGGCAUAGGAUGCGACGUCCUAUCGAGCUCCCUUCUGUUAACCCCACCUGCGUUCCCUGUUGUGGUGUGUGAUGUUUUUAGCAACCUAUUCUUUAUUUUAGAACCGUGGAUCCGUCGAGUCACGACGGACGUGAGGGGUGCUAAUACCUUCCCCUUGCGUAACCGAUCCCUUACCCUUUCUCUUUAGGUCGCAGGACCGAAUUGCAUACAAGUCAAACAACCCUAGGUCAAACCAAUUUUUCACCAAGCACAAUUUCUAAAAUUAUGUCCAUAAAAUUCUAGAGAGAAAAUGGGAACUAUAGAAAAAAUCCUCAUAUUUUUCUGAUCAUUAAAAUAUUUUUUAUGAAUUUUCUAAGAUUUAUGUGAUUUUUAAAUAAUUAUUGAAAUGUUAUUAUUUAAUUAAGAGGUUUCAGUGGCAGUAUGGUAAAUAUCCUAGGCCGGUCCCCCUUCAUUAAUGUGUUGUCACACCGCUAUUGGCUGCGCUUUGGAGGGAAACAACUUUCAAAAAUGAACCAUGGAACGAACGGAUCAAAAGCCAGAUUUUUCCAGAUUUCAAACCGUUCUUCCUCGCGCGCUCGUUCUUGAUCUGCAAAUUUGAGGAUGAACUUUUCCUCACGGAAAUUCACAAGCCAUACACCAUUCUCUCCGUCUCUUAACGCACAUCACUAAUAUGCUAACGAUUUCUAUUAAUUUCUACUGUACAUCACGAAUCGAGCUUGGAAAGGAAUGAACAUCCAACUACAAAUCGAGAUAUCUCCCUUAAUAGUGAACCAAAUCCAAAACUACAAAUUGCACGGUGUUCUACAUGAUGAGACCUACCUAAACCAUAUCAAGAUUUGCACAAUAGAGGAAUUCGAAUUCUGACCUUAAAAUGAAGACAGCAAGGAAUCCGCGAGCUUCAACAUCCAAAUUGUGAAAACAGAUGAAGAUUAACGUCCAGGAAGUUGAUUGGAGGUGUUAAGUUCAACUGAAGUUGCUUUUAAUGCACGAAUUCUUCAAAAGCCAUGGAUGCAUCACAUAUGAACAGUUGCGUUUGGUGAUGAUUUGGACGAUGAAUAACCAAAACAGUGGAAGAAGAUGAUGAUUGGAGAUGGCAGCAACAAGAAUUACACCAAUUGAUGGAGAAUUGGGAGAGAUUUUGGAUUUUUUUUGCUUAUGUGUUCUUGAGAGGUUUUUGAGAAAUUGGAGGGAAAAGAGAUUGAGAUUUUGGGAAAUGUGAAUUCUGUUAUGAGUUUGUUAGGAUUAGGAAUAUAUACACAUGAUUAAUCAAGCCUUAAUCACUUUAAUUAACAAAAGUGAAUGUAAUUAGCAUAAGUGUCAUUUUCAAUGGCAAGGGCAAAAUGGUAUUUUCAUACAAGCCUUGUGACAGCUCAUUGCCAGCUCACACAUGCCCUAAAUAUCUGUCAUGAGCUGUUGCAACUUGUCUCAUCUUCAUUGGAUGUGUAUUUCUCAUUUUCCCACAUGUCAUGGCACUUUUAUGCAUUUUCAAGUCCAUUUCAAAAAGUGAGUUCUCAAACCAUGAGGCCUUGACAUGUUAUGAGCAUUCAAACACUUCCGAAAUCAUGCAUUUGUGAGGUGUUACAAAAAUCCCCACGUCAAAAAUUCCCAUUAUUGUCUCAAGUUGGACCAUUUUGGCCCCUGGAUCUUUAAACUGUAGCACUGAAUUUGAGCUUUUGGCAUUAUCGCUUUUAUAUCACAGAUUAUCACNNNNNNNNNNNNNNNNNNNNNNNNNNUUUAACUGUACACUUGAAAUUUGACUUUUUGCAUUGACCAUUUUUGAUGAAUUCCAAUUAUGCACCAUGAAAGUACAUGUCAAAUUGAGUUUGUGCAUAAAAAGAUCACUCAAUUUGGACACUCCAUGUGGAAGUUAUGCCCCUCUGAUUAUGGGUCAUUUUUGAAAUUGACUGGACCAUAACUUGCCAACCAUACAUGGGAUUUUCAAGUUCUUGGACUUUUUGGAAAGGUGAGAACAAGAUCUACAACUUUCAUUUUGAACAAAUUUUCAUUUGAAGCUUCCUUGGACCUGUAAUUUUGAGGUCAAAAACUUUCCAUUUUUGGAAACUUCUAUUACAAGUCACUUUCUAUUUUUGGCAGUUUUUGUUCUGACUUGAUUUUCUUCAUUCUUAAGCUUUGAAAUGUCAAAUAACACUUGUUUCAACAUGAAUGAAGUGUAUCCAACUCAUUUCCACCUCCAAAUCCAUUAAAUCAUGUACAGUUGACCACAGUUGACUUUUUCAACUGAUAGAUGAAUUUGGCAAUGCACUGAUCAAUCUGAGCCCCAAUCCUCUGAUGAAAUGGCUCAAGGGUAAAACCCUAACCUCAAUAAGCACAAUAUAAUCAAAUAAUGAUCCCCAUAGACAUCAUAGACCCCAUUUCCUGAUCAUGCCCUGAUUGGCCCAAUGCAACUGAUUAGGGUUGACCAGUGGUCAAAACCCUAAUCUCAAGGUAUCUGCUUCAACACUUGAUGAAAUCAAACCAUGAUGAUGAUGAUGAAUCAUUGUAAUCAAGAUGAAGACCAAUAUCCUUUGAGAAUCAUGAAACCCUAAUUUGGACCUCCACAUCCUCAGAUGAUCAAUGACCAGUCCAAUGAAACCCUAGCUUGCACUUUGACUUCCUCAUCUUCUGAUCAAAACUUGGGAGGAUGACUUGCACAAUGUAACCACAUGAUAUGCAAUAUGCAAUGCCUAAUGACCUAAAAAUGAUAUGUAAUAUGUUAUGCUAGUCCCAAGAGAGGAGGGCAAAUUUUGAGGUGUUACAACAACAACAAACAAAAUAAAAUGAAUAAAAUCAUUAAACCACUACUAAAAAAAAGACAUCUUACAGUAGGUGUUACAUCGGUUACACAUACGAGGUAACUAAGAACGAUAUGAAAAAUUGUCACUUUACCCACCGAUUUCUAAAUAACCAAGGGGUAAAGUGGCAAUGUCAUGUGAUUGAUCCCUAGUGAGAUCCUUUAAGGAAUAUUAAUUGCGAAAAAACUUAUCCGCUCGGUUUUGAAAUAUAACCGACGUGUAAAAUCAGUUUGAGUUUAUUUUAUCUAUUGUGGAUUGCUUUUAUUUAGCCCUAGCUGAACAUCUAACUUUUCAAAUUGGAUUAUUGUGAUAGUUGACAGUACUAUUGAUGCAAUUUACAAAUCAUUGAUGCAUAUCUAAAUCGUAGUCUUAACUUCGAUAAUGAAUCUUCCCCAAUUGGAAAAAAAAACCAUCAUAAUUGAUCAACCGUGGCAAGGUAGGGGUGGUAGUAAGUGUACUAAAUUCCACCACGGGUUAAGGUCCAUUGUGAAAAAAUGGAUAACGCGCUACAUUUUACCAUAGUUAGGAAUCCAACUGUGGGGGUAUGUAGUCAUCCCACUUUUUACCAUGAUUCGAACUUCCAACCAUGGUGAAAUGUGAGUCAACCCACUUUUCAUCACGGUUGGAAGUUCCAACCAUGGUGAAAUAUCAUUCAACACACUUUUCACCAAGGUCGGAAGUUCCAUCCAUGGCAAAAAUUUAAUCAACCCAAUUUUUUAUUUAUUUUUGCCACAUGUUUUGACUGACUACAUUAAGAACAUUCAUCAUAAUAUAUAAUUCAAAAUAUUUCUAACACAAGAACAAGAACAACAAGAACAUCAACAAUAAUAACAACAAAAUCAAGAGCAAGAACAAGAAAAAGAAAAAAACAAGAACAAUAAAAACAACAACGAAAUAAAAUCAAUUGGAUCAUUAAACAUUAAAUCUCAACAACACCAACAACAAAACAAAGUCAACACAAUCGUUAAAUAUUAAAUAUCAACAACAACAACAAUAAUAAAAACAACAACAAAAGAAAAACAACAACAAAAAUAAAAUCAAUAAAAUCAUUAAACCACUACUAAAAAAAAACUAUCUUAUAGUAGAUGUUACAUCAGUUACACAUACGAGGUAACUAAUGACGAUUUGAAAAAUUGUCACUUUUCCCAUCGAUUUCUUAAUAACCAAGGGGUAAAGUGGAAAUGUCAUGUGAUUGAUACCUAGUGAGAUCCUUUAAGGAAUAUAAUUGCGAAAAAACUUAUCCCCUUGGUUUUGAAAUAUAACUGACGGGUAAAAUAAGCUUGAGUUUAUUAUAUCUAUUGUGGAUUGCUUGUAUUUAGCCCUAACUGAACAUCUAACUUUUCAAAUUGGAUUAUUGUGAUAGUUGCUAGUACUAUUGAUGCAAUUUACAAAUCAUUGAUGCAUAUCUAAAUCGUAGUCUUAACUUCGAUAAUGAAACUUCCACAAUUGGAAAAAAAACCAUCAUAGUUGAUCAACCGUGGUAAGGUAGCGGUGGUAGUAAGUGUACUACAUUCCACCACGGGUUAAGGUCCGUAGUGAAAAAAUGGAUAACGCGCUACAUUUUACCAUAGUUAGAAAUUCCAACUGUGGUGAUAUGUAGUAAACCCACUUUUCACCACGAUUCGAACAUCCAACCAUGGUGAAAUGUCAGUCAAGCCACUUUCCACCACGGUUGGAAGUUCCAGCCGUGGCAAAAAGUCAAUCAACCCAAUUUUUUAUUUAUUUUUCCCACAUGUUUUGACUGAUUACAUUGAGAACUUUCAUCAUAAUAUAUAAUUCAAAAUUUUUCUAACACAAAAACAAGAACAACAAGAACAACAACAAUAAUAACAACAACAACAAGGGCAAGAUCAAGAAAAAGAAAAUAACAUGAACAAUAACAACAACAACAAAAUAAAAUCAAUUGGAUCAUUAAACAUUAAAUCUCAACAACAACAACAACAACAAAACAAAAUCAACACAAACGCUAAAAUUAAAUAUCAACAACAACAACAGCAACAACAAUAAAAACAACAACAAACAAUAUAAAAUGAAUAAAAUCAUUUAACCACUACUACAAAAAAAAACAUCUUACAGUAGAUGUUACAUCGGUUACACAUACGGGGUAACUAAGGACGACAUGAAAAAUUGUCACUUUACCCAACGAUUCCUAAAUAACCUAGGGGUAAAGUGACAAUGACAUGUGAUUGAUCCCUAGUGAGAUCCUUUAAGGAAUAUUAAUUGCGAAAAAACUUAACCCAACGGUUUUGAAAUAUAAUCGACGGGUAAAGUAAGCUUGAGUUUAUUAUAUCUAUUGUGGAUUGCUUGUAUUUAGCCAUUGCUGAACAUAUAACUUUUCAUAUUGAAUUAUUGUAAUAGUUUCUAGUACUAUUGAUGCAAUUUACAAAUCAUUGAUGCAUAUCUAAAUCAUAGUCUUAACUUUGAUAAUGAAACUUCCACAAUUGGAAAAUAAACCAUCAUAGUUGACCAACCGUGGUAAGGCAGGGGUGGUAGUAAGUGUGCUACAUUCCACCACGGGUUAUGGUUCGUUGUGAAAAAAUGGAUAACGCGCUACAUUUUACCAUAGUUAGAAAUUCCAACUGUAAUGAUAUGUAGUCAGCCCACUUUUCACCAUGAUUUGAACUUCUUCAAUAAGCUUCUUCACCAAUUGGAAAAAAAACCAUCAUAGUUGAUGAACCGUGGUAAGGUAGGGGUGGUAGUAAGUGUACUACAUUCCACCACGAGUUAAGGUCCUUUGUGAAAAAAUGGAUAACGCGCUACAUUUUACCAUAGUUAGAAAUUCCAACUGUGGUGAUAUGUAGUCAACCCACUUUUCACGACGAUUCGAACUUCUAACCAUGGUGAAAUGUAAGUCAACCCACAUUUUCGCCACGGUGGGAAGUUCAAACCAUGGUGAAAUAUCAUUCAACCCACUUUUCACCACGGUUGGAAGUUCCAGCCGUGGCUAAAAGUCAAUCAACCCAAUUUUUUAUUUAUUUUUGCCACAUGUUUUGACUGACUACAUUGAGAACUUUCAUCAUAAUAUAUAAUUCAAAAUAUUUCUAACACAAGAACAAGAACAGAAAGAACAAUAAUAAUAAUAAGCAGAACAACAAGAGCAAGAACAAGAAAAAUAAAAUAACAAGAACAAUAAAACCAACAACGAAAUAAAAUCAAUUCGAUCAUUAAACAUUAAAUCUCAACAACAACAACAACAACAACAACAACAAAACAAAUAAUAUAUAAUUCAAAAUAUUUCUAACACAAGAACAAGAACAACAAGAACAACAACAAUAAUAGCAACAACAACAAGAGCAAUAACAAGAAAAAGAAAAUAACAAGAACAAUAAAAACAACAACUAAUAAAAAUCAAUUGGAUCAUUAAACAUUAAAUCUCAACAACAACAACAACAACAACAAAACAAAGUCAACACAAUCGUUAAAUAUUAAAUAUCAACAACAACAACAAUAAUAAACACAACAACAACAAAAAUAAAAUCAAUAAAAUCAUUAAACUACUACUACAAAAAAUACAUCUUACAGUAGAUGUUACAUCGGUUACACAUACGACAUAACUAAGGACGAUUUGAAAAAUUGUCACUUUACCCACCGAUUUCUAAAUAACCAAGGGGUAAAGUGGCAAUGUCAUGUGAUUGAUCCCUAGUGAGAUCCUUUAAGGAAUAUUAAUUGUGAAAAUACUCAUCCCCUCGGUUUUGAAAUAUAACUGACGGGUAAAAUAAGCUUGAGUUUAUUAUAUCUACUGUGGAUUGCUUCUAUUUAGCCCUAACUGAACAUCUAACUUUUCAAAUUGGCUUAUUGUGAUAGUUGCUAGUACUAUUGAUGCAAUUUACAAAUCAUUGAUGCAUAUCUAAAUCGUAGUCUUAAGAUCGAUAAUGAAACUUCCAUAAUUGAAAAAAAAACAACAACAAAAUAAAAAACAACAACAACAAAAAGAAAAUCAACAAAAUCAUUAAACCACUACUACAAAAAAUACAUCUUACAGUAGAUCUUACAUCGGUUACACAUACGAGGUAACUAAGGACGAUUUGAAAAAUUGUCAGUUUACCCACCGAUUUCUAAAUAACCAAGGGGUAAAGUGACAAUGUCAUGUGAUUGAUCCCUAGUGAGAUCCUUUAAGGAAUAUUAAUUGCGAAAAAACUUAACCCAACGAUUUUGAAAUAUAACCGACGGGUAAAAUAAGCUUGAAUUUAUUAUAUCUAUUGUGGAUUGCUUGUAUUUAGCCAUAGCUGAACAUAUAACUUUUCAAAUUGAAUUAUUGUAAUAGUUUCUAGUACGAUUGAUGAAAUUUACAAAUCAUUGAUGCAUAUCUAAAUCAUAGUCUUAUCUUCGAUAAUGAAACUUCAACAAUUGGAAAAUAAACCAUCAUAGUUGAUCAACCGUGGUAAGGUAGGGGUGGUAGUAAGUGUACUACAUUCCACCACGGGUUAUGGUUCGUUGUGAAAAAAUGGAUAACGCGCUACAUUUUACCAUAGUUAGAAAUUCCAACUGUGGUGAUAUGUAGUCAACCCACAUUUCACCACGAUUCGAACUUCCAACAAUGGUGAAAUGUCAGCCAACCCACUUUUCACCACGGUUGGAAGUUCCAACCAUGGUGAAAUAUCAUUCAACCCACUUUUCACAACGGUUGGAAGUUCCAGCCGUGGCAAAAAGUCAAUCAACCCAAUUUUUUAUUUAUUUUUGCCACAUGUUUUGACUGACUACAUUGAGAACUUUCAUCAUAAUAUAUAAUUCAAAAUAUUUCUAACACAAGAACAAGAAUAACAAAAACAACCACAAUAAUAACAACAACAACAAGAGCAAGAAUAAGAAAAAAUAAAUAACAAGAACAAUAAAAACAACAAUGAAAUAAAAUCAAUUGGAUCAUUAAACAUUAAAUCUCAACAACACCAACAACAAAACAAAGUCAACACAAUCGUUAAAUAUUAAAUAUCAACAACAACAACAAUAAUAAAAACAAUAACAAAAGAAACACAACAACAACAAAAAUAAAAUCAAUAAAAUCAUUAAACCACUACUACAAAAAAUACAUCUUACAGUAGAUAUUACACCGGUUACACAUACGAGGUAACUAAGGACGAUUUGAAAAAUUGUCACUUUACCCACCGAUUUCUAAAUAACCAAGGGGUAAAGUGGCAAUGUCAUGUGAUUGAUCCCUAGUGAGAUCCUUUAAGGAAUAUUAAUUGCGAAAAAACUUAUCCCCUCGGUUUUGAAAUAUUACUGACGGGUAAAAUAAGUUUGAGUUUAUUAUAUCUACUUUGGAUUGCUUGUAUUUAGCCCUAACUGAACAUCUAAUUUUUCAAAUUGGAUUAUUGUGAUAGUUGCUAGUACUAUUGAUGCAAUUUACAAAUCAUUGAUGCAUAUCUAAAUCGUAGUCUUAACUACGAUAAUGAAACUUCCAGAAUUGGAAAAAAAACCAUCAUAGUUGAUGAAUCGUGGUAAGGUAGGGGUGGUAGUAAGUGUACUACAUUCCACCACGAGUUAAGAUCCGUUGUGAAAAAAUGGAUAACGCGCUACAUUUUAUCAUAGUUAGAAAUUCCAAUUAUGGUGAUAUGUAGUCAACCCACUUUUCACGACGAUUCGAACUUCUAACCAUGGUGAAAUGUCAGUCAACCCACAUUUUCACCAUGGUGGGAAGUUCCAACCAUGGUGAAAUAUCAUUCAACCCACUUUUCACCACGGUUGGAAGUUCCAGCCGUGGCUAAAAGUCAAUCAACCCAAUUUUUUAUUUAUUUUUGCCACAUGUUUUGACUGACUACAUUGAGAACUUUCAUCAUAAUAUAUAAUUCAAAAUAUUUCUAACACAAGAACAAGAACAACAAGAACAACAAGACUACAUUGAGAACUUUCAUCAUAAUAUAUAAUUCAAAAUAUUUCUAACACAAGAACAAGAACAACAAGAACAACAACAAUAAUAACAACAACAACAAGAGCAAGAACAAGAAAAAGAAAAUAACAAGAACACUAAAAACAACAACGAAGUAAAAUUAAUUGGAUCAUUAAACAUUAAAUCUCAACAACAACAACAACAACAAAACAAAAUCAAGACAAUCGCUAAAUAUUAAAUAUCAACAACAACAACAACAACAACAAAAACAACAACAACAACAAAAACAACAACAAAAAAAAUCAAUAAAAUCAUUAAACCACUACUACAAAAAAAAACAUCUUACAGUAGAUGUUACAUCGGUUACACAUACAAGGUAACUAAGGACGACAUGAAAAAUUGUCACUUUACCCACCGAUUUCUAAAUAACCAAGGGGUAAAGUGGCAAUGUCAUGUGAUUGAUCUCUAGUGAGAUCCUUUAAGGAAUAUUAAUUGCGAAAAAACAUAUCCCCUCGGUUUUGAAAUAUAACCGGCGCGUAAAAUAAGCUUGAGUUUAUUAUAUCUAUUGUGGAUUGCUUGUAUUUAGCCCUAGCUGAACAUAUAACUUUUCAAAUUGGAAUAUUGUGAUAGUUGCUAGUACUAUUGAUGCAAUUUACAAAUUAUUGAAGCAUAUCUAAAUUAUAGUCUUAACUUCUAUAAUGAAACUUCCACAAUUGGAAAAAAAACCCAUCAUAGUUUAUCAACCGUGGUAAGGUAGGGGUGGUAGUAAGUGUACUACAUUCCACCACGGGUUAUGGUUUGUUGUGAAAAAAUGGAUAACGCGCUACAUUUUACCAUAGUUAGAAAUUCCAACUGUGGUGAUAUGUAGUCAGCCCACUUUUCACCAUGAUUUGAACUUCCAAUCAUGGUGAAAUGUUAGCCAACCCACUUUUCACCGUGGUUGGAAGUUCCAACCAUGGUGAAAUAUCAUCCAACCCACUUUUCACCACGGUUGGAAGUUCCAGCCGUGGCAAAAGGUCAAUCAACCCAAUUUUUCAUUUAUUUUUGUCACAUGUUUUGACUGACUACAUUGAGAACUUUCAUCAUAAUAUCUAAUUCAACAUAUUUCUAACACAAGAACAAGAACAACAAGAAUAACAACAACAACUAGAGCAAGAAUAAGAAACAGAAAAUAACAAGAACAAUAAAAACAACAACGAAAUACAAUCAAUUGGAUCAUUAAACAUUAAAUCUCAACAACUACAACAACAAAACAAAGUCAACACAAUCGUUAAAUAUUAAAUAUCAACAACAACAACAAUAAUAAACACAACAACAAAAGAAAAACAACAACAACAAAAAUAAAAUCAAUAAAAUCAUUAAACCACUACUACAAAAAAAUACAUCUUACAGUAGAUGUUACAUCGGUUACACAUACGAGGUAACUAAGGAC
rnacentral:lncRNA from 1 species